rnacentral:lncRNA from 1 species
UACCCACAAGAAACCGACGUUUUAAUCCCUUGCUGUCCUCAGGGUAGAGUAGCAACGGCAUCGAUUACAAGACUUUCAUAAGUAAUCCCCCAGACCCAUACCGAGGGACCCGCUCCCACCUACACGGCUACAUCAUCACGAUCACCUCGGGCCCAGGUUCAAACAGCUUACUCAAUCUUGGCAGAGCCCAUAUUACCAUGUGGUUGUACUGGAAGCUACUACACAGGAAACUAGUCCAGUCUCUAGUUACCCCGGGUGGCAUUCCACAUUUUGCGACGCAAAUGGACCCAUAGACAUGGACCUGACGCCGCAUAACAUCCAAAAUCUCAAAGCCCCCCACCCAGGAUGGUUCAUUAACAAUUAAGUUGUUUUGUCAAACUCUAAGUAAAACCCUGCUUUUCUCCAUAACCACAAUAUUAUCAUGAUGUAGUAAUUUCUCCCACGAUACUACCAUAGCCUAGCACUCAACUACAUACGAUGACAAUUUGGUAGCAAGGUAAUGGCACGGAUAAAACUACACUACCUGGGAUUCAUAGUUAGCAUAGAGAUACAAAUAAUAUUCCUAAUGCAACUAAUAAAACAUCUAGCGCAUAGUAAAAUAUUAGGGAAAUGAUCAAAGUGACUUGCCUUGUUCAAAGCUGUGGUAGUUCUCGCACUCUUUGCAACAACAUGGUUCACACUCCAAACAAUCUAAAAUAAACAAGCACAAAUGCACAUAAACAUGCAAUUCAAUACAAAGAAUAUGCCAUGAUGCACUCCUAGCUUGGUUUUAGUAUUCACAAUUUUAGUUUCUGUUUUGAAGAUUUUUUCAAAGGAUUGGACAGAUUUAACAUAUUAGGAAGGUACUCAUUGUGCAAGAAUCAAAAUAAGAUUUAAUAAUAGUUUAAUGGGUUUUUAGAAGGCAUGGAACAAAAUAGUUUGGUACUGCAAGAUUAUUUUACAAAAAUAAUUCUCCCUCUGAUCCUACUGCACCGGGAAUACACUUUAAACAUUUUUUGAAAUGACAACAGGUUCAAAAUAGUUUUAAAACAUUUCAUAUGAAUUAUAAACCAUAGUUAAACAUUCUAUAAUUUGGUUCUGUUAAAGUUAUUCAAAUUCAAAAUUGAACAGUGUGAAAAGAAUCUACAUGCCAUGCUGAUUCCAGAAAGGUGCAGAACAUGAAUUUUGGCCAAGCGGUUUAAAAGUUAUGAUCAUUUGAAUAUCCAGGGGUGUUUCUGCAACACUUCUAUUUUAAUUCGGCCGGGAGAAAAUCUUUUAAUUAAGGGGUGACACGUGGCAACUCCUGAUUGGUUGAUACCGGUUCGGGAUUGGAAUGAAAGGCAGCUGUCGGAUCAACAUAAAAUGGACGGCCCAGAUCUACGAAUACCCUUCACUUAAGUGUUCUAAUCUCAACCGUGGAAAGUAGAUCGGGCGGUCGGGGAGCAUCUGUCUUACCUCUGGCGGCGGCGGUGGCGUGGGUGUUCUGGCGAUCCUUGGGGCUCAGGAAUCGGCGGGAAAGAAGCGGCGUGCCGAGGCGGUUCUCCUGACGGUCGUGUUACUCCUCGGGGUGGCCGGAGAUGGCGGUGAAGCUCGGGUUCCGGCGGCGGCGGCAUGGAGCUUCGGUCGGAACGGGCCGGGCGCUACAGUACACAAGAAACAAAAGCGAGCGCGUCAUGGCGUGCGCAAAGAAGAGAGAAGAAGGAAGCACCAAAAGAUGGUGGCUAGAAAUCACCGGUUAGUCGGCGGCGACUUCAAAACGUCGCGGUGUCCGAAACUUUCCGGCGAGCCAUUGGGCAGCUUGGCGGCGUGGAAACGGUCGAGUGAGAGAGGAGAAAGACUGCGGGGGUGAGAGGCUUUAUACCGACGCGGUCGGUUGAGAAGAUGGGGGUCGUGGGCGAGGAGGACGCGGCCUGCGCGUGGAAUUCGGCUGCCAAUUGGAGGAAGAAGGCGAAGCUGGCAGGUGGGGCCCGCCUGGCAGCGGCUGUGGCUCGGGCGCACGCGGAGGUGGGCUGUGCGUGCGGUUCGGUAAGUGGGCCGGCCCAGUAAGGGUCGGUCCGGUUCCCCUUUUUUUUCUUUUCUUUUUUUCCUUUUUCUUUUUCUGGUUUUGAACUAAACUUUUGAUUUAAAGCUCCAAAUUGAGUCAAAUAAAAUGCAACAAAUUUUUUAAAAUCAUAUCUUCAUAUGAUUCAACUUUUGGGACAAGAAUUCCCUCAAAAUAAAAUAUAUAAAAAUACUUUUGCCUAUAAAAUUGCCUUUAGGGCUUUAUAUCUAAUAAAAUUUGUAGUGUUUCAAAUCCAAAAUCAAAUACCAAAUAUGGGGUAGCAUAAUCAUGCUUUAAACCACCUUUAUUAACAUCACCCUAAUGGGUCAAAAAUCCAAUUGGCAAAAGAGAAGUAAAAGCAAGAUUCAAUAAAAAGAAACUUGGUUAUUAGAUUUUCCUGAGUUAAUUUUCAUGGUUUAAAAUGUGAUGAAAUGCAAAGGUGACAUGAUGCUCAUGGAAUGCAAUGCAUUAUGAAAGGUUUUGGAAAUUUGGGAUGUUACAACGAGGUCACCGAUGGCCAGGUGGUGGGGCCUGUCCACCUCGGAGGGGUGAAGCCGAGAAGGUUCCUGCGGGACAAUUGAAGACAGACCAAGAGGGAAUUUAAUUGGAUCAAUUAGCUUCCUGCUUGAUUGCUUCUUCAGUUUUUCUCUUUAUUGCUCCACAAUUCCUCUAUGUUGGAUCCACUUCUCUGCCAGUCUAUUUGCCCCUUCUCCUCUGCCUCGAGCUCGAUCAUGGCCGAGCCCCUCAUCCAUCCACUCCUAUUCCACUUCGGUGUUAUGGAGUUCGUUUGAGAGAGAUUGGGAAUUGGGACUCUCAAGUAUUUGAAAAUUCUCAUGAAGAUUGGACAUAGGGACUCUCUCUCUCUCUCAUAAUUGGAAUUUCUCAUGGAUAUUGGCAAUUGGAAUUUCACUCUCUCAAGUUAUUGGAAUUCUAAUGCAGAUUGUGGGAUGGUUCAUGAUGGAACCACGUCAAUUUUCAUGGCGGUAUUUUAUUUUCAGGUAUGUAAUAUGCUUCUUCAUUACUACCUCCGUUCCUAAAUUCUUGUCGCUGUUUUAGUACAAAUUUGAACUAAAACAAUGGCAAGAAUUUACGAACGGAGGGAGUAGAUCCCUAAAAUUGUACAUUUUAAUAGGCCUAGAAUUCCUUUUGGUAGUUUGUUCGAUCAACAGCUAAUGAAUUGCUAAUUGCUCAUUAGAUAAAAAUUGUAGGAGAGGCUCACACCAUACAAAACUGAUUGCUAAUUGUUAAACUUGAAGAUCCAUAAUUAGCUACAAGAACAAAUUAUGAAAAAGAUGGUACAGGGGAGGCGAACAGAACAGUGUGGUGACCACUUUGUAUCACCUUCACUAAUCCUAGAUUUUCUUAGCCUGAUAAGUCCUCUGAGUUUUUCACAAAUGCGCAGGUUUAUUAUAUUAGUGUGUUCUGGUGAGUCAAGCUACAUAGUAGGAACCAUGAAAAUAGAAACAGGUACUUAUCCAAUCAGGCACUCAAGUACCCGAUGUCUGAUAAUUUCUUACACUUGCGUUAAAAAAUAUAUUUUUUGUUCUUUAAAGAUGUUGUUCCAUUCAGAAUCUAAUAUAUAUAAAAGCAAAACAAAUAAUUUAGCAAAGAUCAUCAGUAGGCUUAGCAAAAUAAAAAUACAAACGGAUUAAUAGAGUAAAACACCAUUCUUAACAAGAAUUUCCGCAGCAACGCGCGGGGUAUCAUCUAGUUUUGAUUGAACUCGGUAGUCCAAAAUAUGAAGUGCCCAUACAUUACCACCAGCCACUAGUAGGAAAUAUAAUAUUCCCUCCAUUCCAAAAUACACCUCAUAUAUAUUUGUGCACUUGGAUCAAGACAACUCUCGUUUCUAGUGCAUGACCACUCAUAUUGGGUUAAGAAUAAAUGGAUGAUAGUUAUUGGCCGGGUGCGGGUACAAGAGAAAAAUGAGGUGUAUUAUGGAAUAAAUGAAAAAAUCUAUACACGUUGUAUUGUGGAAUAGAGGAGUAACAAGUAGUCCAAAAUAUGAGCUCCAAAAUACAUACUGGCUCUACCAUACAACUUUCCUAUCACCUAUCAAACCAUUGGCGAUACUUUCACAAACCACAUCCAAUGUUGGCAUUAUGGACUCCUUGAUGAAGACCAGGAAGGCCCACUCCCCCGGCAUAUAGUUCUCAUCUUGGUCACAUUUAUAGAACUUUUCGUUAUAUAAAGCACUCUCUCUAAUCCAGUUAUGAAGCGCCAUGCGUGCAACUUAUGCGGGUUUGCUUCUCAAUUGCAUAAGGAGGGACAUGCAGUAGGAUACACCAUUUCAUCCCAAUUUGCUUUUGGUUGGUUCUGCUUUUCUUGUUCUAUCUAUAUACAUCAACGACAAGCAUAUUUGUUAAUAGCAUACAUACAAGAACCCCAAUCCAUGAAUGCCCCAUCAAUACAACACACAUGCAUACAUCUAUGAAAUACAUCUAUACAUCCACACAUAAUACAUGUACACAAAAUCCCAGGUCCAUCCAAACAUGCAGCAGAGUGGGCAUCCAUAUAUGCAGCCACAUUAGAGAGAGAGGAGGGGAGGAGGGGGGGGGGGGGGGGGCUCACCUUGUCCUCAGAGGUAGCAGGUUGGUGGCAGGGUACGACGGUGAGCAGCUCGGGGAGGACGCCGACGAAGUAGUGUGGUGACCGGCGGCGAAGGGCUCUAUGUCGGGGGCGCCCAUAGAGGCAGGGUUCGAAGGGACUUGCAGCGAGAGGGCCGGUGGAGGGCAGGGGACUCAGAUCCGGCGAGGGAGGGCGGGGAGGAGAGCGACGACAACCCUAGCCGCCGCUUCCCAUGGGCAAGCGAGGGGGGGGGGGGGGUGAGGGGGGAAAAUUGAAGGGGUUUUCACUUGUAAGGUUGUGACAUUUUGGUCGUAAUUAUGGGGAAUAGGAGGGGUAGCGCUAAGCGGGAUAGCCAGAGGCUCGGGAAGCACCUCAGGACGUGCUUUUGAGCUUUCAGUGCAAAUUGGAGAAGUGCUUUCCAUAAGCAUUGCAUGGCUUUUUUGCUUUUUGUUUGAGAUUCUGCUGAGGGUUAGAAGCACCUAAAGCACAAGCAAAGCCCAAACAAACUGGGUCUUAACCAGGCCAGGACUUCAACAAAACACUUCUAUUCCAGGCUGGCCCGGUCAGGCAAGAAACUUAUAUAUUCGUACUUUUCAUUAUGUCAGGUCUUGUCACACAUACAUGCCAAAAAAAUACAACUGAAGGUAAUCUUUCAACUUCUGUUCCCUACUAAAAAACUACUGCCUCCAAUCCUGCCAAAAACUAAACUCCUCCAUUUAGUAUUGUGCUAAAUCAACGAAACUUGUUAUGAAUCGGGGGGAGUAGUUAAUUUAACCCCAAUAUAAACGUCAAGAGCAGACUAAAUUAUCCAAUCCUGCCAAAAAGAAUGGAAAAUGGCAGGAUGUGAAGAAAUCAACCAUCACGGGUUAGCUUGAAUGCAAGGAGAACAAACAGGAGGGUGAAUAUAAUCAUAAACGCAGCGAAGGACAAAAUGACGCCCUGUGAAAAACCCUUCCUUGCUUCUCCAACCAGCUCAACUUCGCUUAACAGGCGCCUUACUUCGUUCAUGUCUGAAUCCUUUGCAGCGCGGAAUAAUCUGUUGUGAACCUCAUCCAGCUUGGUGAGCCUUCUGGCUCGAUUUGAAUCCCUUGCAGACCAGAUGAAUCCAGUCAUCCUCCACAAAAGGAUUCCAACGUAGAUUGCUACAAUGCAGUCAACAGUGUAAUGAUGACGCCCCCGUAUCUCCCUCUGGGCACUGUGCAGGACUAGAAACCAUAUGACAACAGAUAUCCAGCCCCCAUAGGCUUCCUGCAUAGAAAGUGUUAAGAUGGAUAUUUGUUCCUUUUACUAUCAUUUUUCUUGAGAACAGAUUUAGGGAUUAACAGCUGAGCACAGAAAUUAAACCAACGUUUGUCCAAAUGAAGAUGGAAACUCAUAUUGAAGAAAAACAGAUGACAAUCGCAAGCUGAGUCUUUCACCAAAAUAGAAUAAUCGACCAGAGACGAAUCUAAUGAAUGUUACUAAAACAGCAAUAGCAUAAUGAACAGAGCCUAGAACUGAUGAACGCAGAUUUAAGAAAAAUCAAAUUGCCCCAAAAUUGAGAGAGGCUCAUAUUGAAGAGAAGAAGAUAGACAGUGGCUUGCUGAACUUUUACCACAGGAAAUACAAUGAAUGAUAUAAAACCAGCAAUAACUUACUGAAGAGUGCCUAGAACUGAUCAAUGGUCUUAUUUUAUAAGGACUUGUAUAUAAGUAUGGACACAGGCUGUGGGAUAUCCUCUAAGGCUGAAGCACAUAUUAGAAACAAAAACUGUAUAGAGUCAGUGUAUCACAUUUCUGUAUCAGUGACAUUACAUGUUUGAAAAUAGGGUGAAAACUUUAAAGCCACAAAACCUUGCACCAGAGAGUGGGAUCAUGAGGAGACCUGCAUCCUCUGCUCCAUGGCUCAGGAGACCGUCAAACAGCUUUGUUUUGCAUGGACUGCCCUUUUCUUAAUAAGGUGUGGGCAGAUGUUAGAUGAUGGAAAGGAAACUUCACUUUCACGAUAGAUGAAGCACACAAAAUCGAGGAGUGGCGGAAUGGAGAUCGCAAGAUUUUUGGUAAAGAAAGGUGAUGCGAAAUGGAUGGGCCCCUCAUCUAUACCAUCUGGGAUGUGUGGAAAGAGCGAAAUCGUCGUCUUUUCUCCAAUGAGGCAAACGAGAGUGGAUAUGUUGGGCUUCUUAUUCACGAAGACUCUCAUUUGUUUAAAUGGGCUUCUGUGCCAAGGGUGGUUGCUGUAAUCUCUGACGGAGAGUAGUUGUUUUAAAUCGCUGUAAGUUUUUUUGCUAACCUUGACCCUAAUAACCAAGGUUAGCACUACUCGUUUUCUCCUAUGACGAAUGACAGAGCUCCUGCCAGUUUUCCUCAAAAAAGAAAAAGAGGAAAAAAGGGUGACCCUGCCACCCUGGUGAGUUUAAUUUCAUAUCAUUUGCAGCAGAACAUAAGGAAGGGUAAAUGCAUAGCAAUUUCAAUUUAUGUCAUGACGAAUAGGGGGGAGAACAUACCGUCCAUGCCAUAGCAGUCAGGACAGCAACAAGCAUAUGCCCACUAUAUAUAAGAUCACUACAACCACCACUGGCUUUCUUCAGCAAAUGAUACCAUGAAGGGCCUUCUCCAGCAGUUGGCCUCAAAAUGUCUAUUAGGAAGUUCAUAUGUCCCCACUCAGGUCUAUACUCAACAGCAUAAUCUUGAACAAUUGCUGUAAUAAGAAAAGGAUAAUAAACAGUUACUUCAAAUAAAAGAAGCAGCUAUUUUCAUUUGUUAAAAUGCUCUAACCAUAUGGCAUAUCCUCCUGCAUGACCCGACGGAUUGCAGCUGGAUCAGAGGCAUAUGGAGCAUAAUAUUUCUGUGCCCAAGGAUGAUAAUGGUAAGGUAUUUGAUACCGAGCUUCAGCACACCAAGGCCUCGGGGAUGGAAGAAUCGUAGCAAGGAAUGUUAUGGUCCGGAGAAAACGCCCUACUGCCAUAGUGAACAUAUACCUUGUGGCUAUUCCAAGUCCAGGACCUUUGAUGCAGUCAAAAAGUGCUGAGAACCCCAACAUGAUAAAUAACAUCAAAUAGUGAUGAAGUGUGAUGAUCUGAGCUCUCAGUAGAUCAACCACAGUUUGAGGAAGCCUCUCAUUCAGUGCUAGAAGCAGCCACUGACCAGUGUCCGGAAGAGGAGCAGUAGAUCUGUGAAUAGCAUCGGAGCUAUCUAAGUUUAGCUCUUUCAAGAUUACAGAGUUCGUGUAUGCCUCGAAAGGUGCAAAAUGAAAGUAUUUUGCACUCAAAUAAAUGCAAUGGAAACUAAUAUUGUUAAAGAGUGUACCAAGGGUGUUGAUGUUUCCCAAGACAGGGAGGUGGCAUCCCAAUAUCCAAACAAUGGAACUAAAACGGUAUGAAAAACUGGUAAGUUGUUUCAAUUCCAUCAAAUUUAUAAAUUAUAAUCACUUGAAGAAUUCCAAGUUGAACAGGAGGAACAAAACCAUGACUAACAUAGCUAUAAAAAAGGUUAUAAUAUAUACUCCCUCCGUCCCAAAAUAAGUGACGUGGAUUUGUAUAGAUUCUUAUGCAAAUCCACGUCACUUAUUUCAGGAUGGAGGGAGUAUAUAAACAGAACGAGCUUUUAUGUACAUGUUUGAUGGCGCAUCAGCCAAUGAUUGCAGCUUAUAAUUUUUGCUUCACAAUCAAACAAAACAUUAUAUUUCCUAUGCAAAGCACCAUCUAUCUAUUCACAUUCCUCACUUAAAGCACAAUGUCUUGAGCUAAUUGUCCUAACUCGUAUUGGGAUAAGUUGAUGUGUGGCCCAAAGGUGUGAUGAACAUAUGAUAUAUAUUUCUUACUCCCUUCGAUCCAUAACAAGUGUCAAGGAAUUGUACUAAAUUUAGUAUAACUUUGUACUAAAUCACCGACACUUGUUAUGGAUCGGAGGGAGUAGCAACUAGUAGGAGUUUACGAUACGGGGUACAACUGUCCACGUACCAAAAUGCUGAUGCCUUGCCUCUUAGAAAAGUUGCAAUCCUCAUAUUACAGGUCUAUAACAAUACCAAAGAUGAACGGUGUGCCCAAAUUCGACAACUAAAAGCGUCCGGAGUAGACCUGUGCCAUUGGCGGCCGAGCACGGAGGAGACGAAUCGGACGGAGAUGGCCUCGCAGAGGAGCGCGGCGAGCAUGAAUGUCAAGGCGGCGAGGAACCGCGGGGCGGUGCGGAGCUCGGCUUCCCAGCGGCGGUAGAAGGGCGCGCGGGCGGCGGUGGCCAGCGCCAGAGCCGGCCAGAGUGCCGGCUGCAGCCGCCCGUGCAACGAGGGAGAGAGGUGCCGGAGGUAGUCCGUGCCAACGUACGCCGCGGCAGCCAGACCCAGACCGCCCGGCGCGAGGGAUCGCAGGCGAGCCGCUGGACGCGGUGGCGAGAUGGGCCGCUUCGGCAUCGGCAUAGGCGGGGAAUUCUGGGGAGAGCUCCUCCUGGUCUGGACAUGGCUGAGCCGAUUGGAAAAUCAGUAUUCCAUUUUCUCCCUAUUUAGUCACCGCAAGUGUAGGGAGAAAAACAUCCGUUGCCAGUUGCCACACAAAAAUGAACUGCCUAACACACUCGUUUUCUUUUUUUGACCGGGCCUAACACACGGGACUUUUGUUGCAAGUAUUUUUCAUUGGGUUUGAAGGUACGUUUUGCUUUUGAUCUAGUCACAUACUGUAUUGCUGAGCUCAAAUUUGCAAAAAAAAAAAAAACUCUUCGUUUUUUAUCUUCAGAUGGAAAAUUGCACCCGGGGAAACUUUUUCUGUUUGCCGAUUCGAAGCAUCUUGUGUCGGUUGUUUCCGAACGUAUUGUAAGAGGCUGGUUUUUGACCGGGCCUAACACACUGGUUUUGCAAGACGUUACAUGCGUAUUUAGACAAAACUGCGAUAAUAAAUUUUGCCCCAAGGGGGUUAUAAUUUCAGAACGAUUGGGCAACGAAAAAAAGAACAAUGUUUUUUCGUGUUGGGUCACCAUGAUGUAAUCAUGCAAUCCCAAAAAAGAUGUCACGGAAUGCUUUUCCUAUGGUGCCUCAGCUCAUCGCUGGUCGAGGUGCAUAGAACAAUCCAGGUGCUUACCCAUAGUUGAUGGUAGCUUUGCUGUUAUGAUCAUACUAAAUGCAUUAGCAACUUGUUUGCAUCCGUCAUUUGGGCCUAGAAUUAUGGAAUUCAUUUGAAUUCCAAAAAUUAACUUGUUUGGUUGGCAUGGAACUGGCGACAUGAAUUCAAUCCCAAAUUUCAUGAAAUCACCCUAUAACUUUCUAAAGCCAUCAUUUCUCUGGAAUUAUCUCUCCACUUUACAAAUCCAUGUGGUAGACAAACAUGAUUUUUGAACCCGGAAUUCAAAUUCAACCAAAUGAAAUCCUAUAAAAGAUUGGAUUUCAUUUCAUUUCUAUCAAAUAAGAAUUAUUGUGACUAAUUAGGCCAUGUAGUUGUCAUCCAAAUAAUUGCAAUAACAACAAUUUACCGGGGCAAGUAGAUAUGGAUAAACUGUCAAAUAUGCAUGCAUUAAUUGACAACCGCUUGUUAACAAUCUGCAAGUAGUGUGCCCCAGACAUUUUUUUAUAGCAAAUGUUAAUUAUAUGGUCGAGAAAGGUAAAUAACUUGGCAAGUGUAUACAUAUAACCUGGCAACCGCUUGUCAAUAAUUUGGCAAGUGUACGCCUGACAUUAUUUGGGACAAUUUUUGUGAGCGAAUGUUAAUUAUUAAUUAUAAGGUACGAUUAAGGUAAAUAAUUUGAUAAGUGUGCACAAAUAAACUGGCAACCGCUUGUUAAUAAUUAGGUAAGUGUACGCCAGACAUUACUCUGAGAAAUUGUCAAUUAUAUGAUAUGAUUAAGGUAAAUAACUUAACAAGUGUUCCUAAAAAAACUUGACAAGUGUGCACAAUAAACUGAUAUCAAUUUGUUAAUAAUCUGGCAUAUGUACCCUAGACAAAUAUUUGCUAGCGAAUACUAAUUACACGGUAUGGUUAAGGCAAAUAAAAGACUCGAGAAGUGUGCACAAAUAAAAUAGCGCAAGCUAUAGUACGAAAUAACAUGUAUAGUAUUUGCAGCGGGCCGUUGCUAAAUCUUACAUCGUGCUAUUUAAAACCUUGGUUACCAUGCAAUUCCAAAAAAUGGUAUCUGCUGUGGAUUAGAGGUAGCAGCUUCUCACUUGAGAGAGGGUUGGGUUGGGUUGAUGAACAAUCCAGGUGCUCACGCAUGGUUGAUGGCAGCUUUGCCAUUGUUAUGAUUAUAGUAAAUGCACUAAGAUUAUUCUGACCAAUUAGGCCCUGUAGUUGUCACCCAAAUAAUUGCAAUUGCAAUAACAACAAUUUACCGUGCAAAUAGAUACGGAUAAGCCGAUAAAUAUGCAUGCAUAAUUGGCAACCGCUUGUUAACAAUCUGACAAGUAUGCCUAGCAAAUGUUAAUUAUAUGGUUGAUAAAGGUAAAUAACUUGGCAAGUGUAUACAAAUAACCUGGCAACCGCUUGUUCAUAAUCUGGCAAGUACAAGUGACAAGUUUUUGUGAGCGAAUGUUAAUUAUAUGGUAAUUAAGGUAAGUAACUUGACAAGUGUGCACAAAUAAACUGGCAACCACUAGUUAAUAAUCUGGCAAAUGCACGCCAACAUUAUUGUAAGCAAUUGUGAGUUACGUGAUAUGAUUAAGUUAAAUAACUUGGCAAAUGUGCACAAAUAAACUGACAACAGUUUGUUAAUAAUCUGGCAAAUGUACCCUAGACAAAUUUUUGCUAGCGAAUACUAGUUACAUGGUAUGGUUAAGGCAAAUAAAAUACUUGAUAAGUGUGCACAAAUAAAAUAGCAACAUCAUAUUAAAUAACCUGACAAGUAUACAUCGUCAAAUAAUGAUGGGAUCCGUAGCUAUCUCUACCGAUGGGAUCUAAGUUUGUUUCAUGCAAUGAUGCGAUAUGAAAGCUUCGUGGGGCUCCAAUUUCCCCGAAUUGGCUCAUAUAGCAGUUUUGCAGUCAUUUGUUUUAGCACUUCCUCCGUCCAAUAAAGGAUGUUUCAAUUUUGACCAAAUUUGAAUGCAUCUAUACACUAAGUCAUGUUUAGAUACAUUCAAAUUUUGACAAACUUGAGAUAUUUUUUGUUGGAUAGACGAGUUCUGUAGUCUUGUUGUCUUAAGGCCCGAGUUGCUGAGUUUUUUUUUUAUGGAACUGCUGCGGCACGCGCACAGAAGAAAUAAGCUGGUUGCUUGCUACGCAGGCCAAAAGAAAGUGGGCCAGUGAAUGCACAUCCGCACGGACAAACUGGGCCGCAUGCAGGCCGGUUCGUGGGAAUCCGCAGAGCGCACGACGGUACACGCGCUCGGGAGCGGGCGCCGCCGGCCAUCCAUACGCAGCGAGGCCGCUGCGGGCGUUGCGAUCUCCAAAAAAGAAACCCUCCGUUGCAAAUCAUAUUACUCCGUAGUACAAAAACCUAGAAAAACAAUCACACCUCCUCUCCUCCGUUGCUCGAAAGCAGCACGAGCAGGAGGAGAUUAGGCAGUUGCAUCGGCGGCGUCGAAGAUGAGCGACGACGUGGUAUGGCACUGCAUCAGCCACGGUCACUGCAGCUUCAUGGCCAAGUACGGUAGCUUUUGCCCUCAUAUUUUUAUUUUUUGUUUACGUGUUUGUUGCUUCUUCUGAUGGCAAUGGUGGUCUUUUGCGCAGGAUCACGACGGGGAUCUUCUGCCGGAAUCCCUACAACGUGACGGGUAUAUGCAACCGGAGCUCUUGCCCACUCGCCAACAGCCGAUACGCGGCAUACGCCACCAUCCGAGACCACGACGGUGACUAAUCACUACCUCAUCGCUCUAAGUAUUACGGUGACCAAUUCUCAAGUGCCAACCUUAAUUUGUAGUCGUUGUAAAAUACCGUAGAUACUAACUACCAGUGCUUAUCCGGCAACAGGGUUGUUAGCCUGUUCUGUUGAGAUCCUAACUCCUUUAUAAUCUCUUUGUAAACCCUAACUCUUGUUGUAUAAAUACAAAGCAUCGGUAGGGAUGUUCCCCACGCCAAACCAAAUCUUUUCACUUGGUAUCAGAGCCUGAUCCAAUCACACCAUGUCGUCUGCUGCGCUCUCCGGCUCUGAGCUAGUCGGAACGAUCUCGUUUCCUGUCGGUGCUACCAUGUCAGUGUCGACGCUCGGCGGUCUCAUCAGCGUCCGGCUGAACCGCGACAACUUCCUGCUCUGGCGCACGCAGGUUGAAGCAGCUCUUUGUGGGCCGAACCUCUUCGGCCACCUCGACGGCACCAUCGCCGCCCCAGCCGACAUGAUCACCAAGGGCACGGGCAACGAUGCUGCUCGGCGCAUCGUCAAUCCGGCCUACAUGCGCUGGUUCCAGCAUGACAAAACUGUCGUUAGCGUCCUCCUCUCCUCAAUGUCGGAGGGAGUCCUGGUGCAAGUCACAAGGCUCAAGACUUCCACUGAGGUCUGGGCCGCUCUCCUUGCCAUGUUCUCGUCUCAGAACAGAGCUCGGAUGGCUCAGAUCCGCUACCAGCUGUCCAACCUGAAGAAGAAGAACAUGUCAGGGGCCGACUUCUUCCACAAGAUGAAGGCACUCGCUGACACGAUGGCAUCGAUCGGCAAGGUGCUCGACGACGAAGAGGUCAUCGGAUAUAAGCUCGCUGGACUCAGACCUGAGUAUGAAUCCCUUGUAUCUUCUAUAACCACACGUGCAGAGCCUGUCACGCUCAAUGAUUUUUACUCAUACUUGUUGAGCCAUGAAACUCGCAUUGAGCAACUCAGCUCGACCAUGGAGUUUCAGUCGUCCGGUAACAGCGCGACGCGCCACGGCAACAAUAACCGCUCCCGCUCUUCCAACCGCGGUGAUCGGGUGACCGCGGCCAGGCGAACCCCGGUUACCAGCAGCAGAACCGGGGCCAUCAGAACUCCGGUGGUGGCGCUGGCGUGGACGUCCCAAGUCCACGUGCCAAAUCUGCCACAAAUACGGCCACGACGCGCUGCGAUGCCACAAUCGCUUCAACCACGCCUACUCCGUGGAAAGCUCCCACGCCACCAACUCUUCACCGACCGGCUACCAUGUUGAUACCAACUGGUAUGCCGACACUGGCGCCACCGACCACCUCACGGGUGAUCUCGACAGGCUGACCAUGCACGAGCGCUACACCGGCAAGGAUCAAGUUCAGGUCGCCGAUGGCGCAGGUUUGAAAAUUUCGCAUAUCGGUCAUUGUGUAUGUCGUACCAGUGGCCCACGGGGUCCCACUGAUACGGGACGCGUGGGUCGCCAGUGAUGAAUCCCCGUCAGGAAGGCCUCCCGGGAAGCGAAAGGUCCGGAAAGCCUGCCUCAAGGAGACGGUCCUUGGUGAAGGCAAAGCUAAGGGCUGGAAUAGAAGAAGCACCCGGGAACCCUGGUCCCAGGAAGUGGAGGAAACGCCUCCCCAGCAACUAGCCGGGUGCGCUAGUCGGGAAGGGGCAUCCCAGCAACCCAUGCUAGGGCAUGAAGGCGAGGCCCGCAGAACAGUGAAGACAGGACAAGACAACGGUCACAGUGCAUUUAAUGCAUCGACAGGAGUCCUAUCAGCAGGCCUAGUCUUGCUCGGCAAGGCUAGGGCGUCUACUCUACAAAUCAUUUUUUCUACCGUGUACAGUGAACCGGGAGACGUGUCACGCAGCAUGAGACGACACCUGUGGUAUCCCCUUGUCUAUAAAAGGAGUACCAAUGCAAUCGGUCAAAGGGUUCCGAUCAGUCUUAGUUCUAGCUCUACUUAGAGUCAUAGCCAAGUAGCUCCCCGGGAACUCCCGGGGGCACCUUGUAAGUGUAACAUCCCAAUUUUCAAAACUCUUCAUAUGCAUUGCAUAUCAUAAGCAUCAUGUCACCCUUGCAUUUGAUCACUUUCAAAACCCUAAAAUUUGCCCAGAAAACGAUUUUGCAAAGAUGCCUUUAUUUGAUUUUGGGCUUUGAUCUUGCUCUUGAGUAUUUGCAUUUUAACCCAUGAGGGUGUUGUGGUAAAAAGGGAUUUAAUGCAUAUAUAGAGCUAUCCCAUAAAUUUGCUUUUGAAAGUAUUUUGAAAAAUAAUUUGUUUCGAUAGCCUAACGGCCCUAAAGGCCAUUUUAUAGGCAAAUGUAUUUUUAAAUAUUUCAUUUUGAGAAAAUUCUUGUUCCAAAAGUUAGAUCAUAUGAAAAUAUGAUUUUACAAAUUUUGUUGCAUUUUAUUUGGAGUGAUUUGGAGCUUCGAAUCAAUUUCGAGGUUCAAAAACAGAAAUUAGAUAAAAGAAAAGGAAAAACCGGACCGAACCGGUUAAACCAAACCGAACCGAUUAAACCGGACCGAACCGGCCCGAACCGGCCGGCCCGCUCUCACUGACCGGUGGGACCCGCGCUCAUCGUCAUCUUCAACCUCCGUCCGAGAAAUCCGGCCACGCGCGCCCCGCGAACUGCCCACGACUCCACCUCCGAUUUCUCCGCGCUCGGGCCGUUUCCUCGAAAUCCUUGCGCGUCACCCCGAAGCCCUCGCUUUUCUCUACCACCUCCCCCCAACCGCUCGCUCGAUUUCGCCUCGGUUGCAAUUUAAUUGCUCGCCGGAGUUGCACUCGGCCGCCGCCGUUUUCCGCGUCUCGCCGCCGUUCCGAUGAGUCUCCGCCCGCGCCGACCCCCUAAUCUUCCUCCUCUCUUCCUUGCGCACGCUGUGACGCGAGCCAGCCGCGAUUUGGAGCUCCGCGCCUCCAUCCGCCGUCUUCCCCGGCGCCGGCCGCCGCCCGUCCGCGCGCCGCCUCCGCCUCCCGCUCCGCCUGGCCGCGCCGCCCGCCUGCGCCGCCCGCGCGCCACCUCCGCGAAGCCACGCCCGCGCCGCCUGCCCGCGCCCACCCGCUGCCCCACGCGCGCCGUGCUGCGCCGCCCCGCGCCGUCCGCGCCGCUCCGCCUCCGGCCGCCUGCCCGCGCCGUCGCCGGCGAGCUAGCCCGCCGGCCGAAACCCUAGGUGCCGGCCAAUCGCUUGCUGCCACGUGGCGAGAUUUUUUUUUUAAUUAUUUGUUUUAUUUUAAUUCGGCUGAAUUAGAUAAUGCACUUUUGCAGAAAAGCCCCUGCAACUUCAAAGCCUCAUAUCUUUUAAACCGUUUGUCCAAAAUUUACGAUCCACACCUUUCUGGAAUCGUCACAACGUGUAGAAUAUUUUGGCACUGUUUAAUUCCAGUUUUGAACUACUUAGAUAGAAGCUAUUUACAGAAUGAUUGAAUAUGGUUUAAAUUCCAAAUGAAUUGUUUCAAAAUAAUUUUGAGCAUGUUAGCUUGCUAUAAAUUUUUUUAAACUUGUUCUCUAUCCAUUAGGAGCAGAAAAGAAAUUAUUUUGUGUAUAAUCAUGGCAUACAAGUUUUAAAUAUUGCUAUAUGUUGCAAAAACCGCACAAUCUUUUGUUUUAAACCCUAUCCAGGUAUUAUGCAUAUUAAUUACCACUUUGAUGUUGUAUAAUCGGUCCAAAUCAUUUGAAAAACUUUUCAAAACAGAAACGAAACUUUCUACUUUAAAAGUAACCUUCGUUGUGCAUCAUCAUAGCAUAUGCAUCAUGGCAUGAUUUUGUAUUGAGUGUUGUGUUUAUUGUGUGUGUUCCUUUUAUUUUAGAUUGUGUGGAGUGUAAUCAUUGUUGUUGCGAAGAGUGCGAGAACUACCACAACCUUGGACAAGGCAAGUUCACUUUGAUCAUAUCCCGUUAUUAUUGUUGUUUUAAAAUGCUUAUGCAUUAGUGUUGUUGGUAGAGAUGCAUUGAUAGGACUAUUACUCGUACCUCUAUGCUAGCUAUAAAUCCCAGGCAGUAUAAUUUACACUCGCCGUUACCUUGCCACCAAAUUGCCAUCGAUUUUAGUUGAAUGCUAGGCUAUGGUAGUAUCGUGGGGGAAAUAACUACAUUAUGAUAUGGUUAUGCCUUUGGCUAUAUGAAAUGUUUUGUUAGAUGUAAGGCAAAACAACUAAUUCAAUGAACCAUCCUGGGUGGGCUGCUUUGAGGAUUUUGAGGAUUAGCGGCGUCAGGUCCAUUUCUAUGGGUCCCUCUGAGUCGAGUUCCUGUGGAUUCAGGAAUGGAUCGUCCAUGGACGUCUCUCCCGUGGAUUCGGGGAGCGCCUACGUUGCAAAUGUGGAAUGCCACCUGGGGUAACAGAGACUGCACUAGUUUCCUGUUUAGUAGCUUCCAGUACAACCACAUGGUAAUAUGGGCUCUGCCAGGAUGGAUGUAAGACAUAUGAUCCUGGAUCCGAGGGAUUGUGCAGAUGUAGCCGUGUAGGUGGGAACGUAGGUCCCUCAGGUGGUCUGGGUGAUUAUGGUGUGAAAAUUCCUGUAAUCGAUGCCGUUGCUACUCUACCCUGAGGACAGCAAGGGAUUAACACGUCGAUUUCUUGUGGGUAAAGUGUACAACCUCUCGAGAGUGUCAAACUAAGUACUUAGCCGUGUCCCCGGUUACGGACAAUCAUGAGCAACUAGAUAUUGGGGCUGUAAGGAAAGUCUCACUCAUUCCAAUUUCUUAAAUAAAAUGAAUGGUUUGAACAGGGUAGGAGCACUUGAAGAAUCCACUUCAAUGUACUCUAGGUUAAUAGAAGCAUGGGUGUGUCUACCCCGUGUCCAUUAGUCAACAUUAUUAUAACAUUCCUUUGUAGUAGGGUAAUUUAUGUUCUGCUUCCACGCAAACAGCCUGAACUCCACCUUGCCAAAUACUGCAUAUACUUGGUAGGUUCUGAUAUAACUCCUAGUGAAUCUUGCCAAUACAUUCAAUGUAUUGACCCUAGUGGCUGCAUCGUUUAAUGAUGCAGGAAGCUCCGACGACGAGUAAGAUGUAUGUUCUACUUGUUUGGGUUACGGGCUUACAUUCCAACACGCUCUCACCGUGGUGUUGAUGUGCCCUUGUACCUUUCACUUUCCGCAGCUAAACAGUUGUUUUAUUUCUAGCUAACCCGUGAGGUUAUGCGAGUUGUAUGUACCUUUUUAAAUUCUGGAUGAUUCGUUAUAAUAUUAAGACCUUUGUUCUAUGAUAUUACAUCUUGAAACUCUGUGUGUUAGUGAGUCGAUCCAGGGACUAGAACUAAAGCACAAAGAUCGAACCCGUAUACGGGGACGGUCGCUUUAGUAAGCCUCAUACAUAAUCUUGAAUACAACUAAAAGCAGAACGUAGGGUGUUACACCUCCGAAUGGCCCGAACUUGGGUAAAUUCAUGUGUCGACACUUCGUAUCUUUCGUCACGCCGGCGAUCGCCGGAGCAAUCGCCUCGCCCUCCACCGAACCAAAAAGGGGCUGCUCGGCAUCCCCGGUGCCGGAGACCCGUGCAGAGAGCUUCGGGCGACCACCGGCGUCAUCGUCUUCACCACCGGCUUCUUCAUCCACGACAUCCUCAACGAUUAGCUCGCCAUGCCACCCAAGAAGGCAGACAAGCCCCUCGACUUGCGCGACACCCUCGCCAUGCGCACUCGAUCCCACGACGCCACGCGCCUGUCGCAAGUACAAGGGGACCAAGGGUCCCCUCCACCUCCUUGGCCGUCGGCAGACAACCGACUGAGGGGGCCUGCGACGCCUAGAGCCGGAGCCAGCCGUGCGAGCGACCUCAACAUCGCGCGCUCCAGUCAGCGAGUCCACUCGUGGGCUGAGGACGCGCAGCGACAGCUGCGCCAUGACGACAGUGCGUCGCGUGCGACGCCAACGGAGUCUCGCCCCACACAUCCGAGGGCAACGGGUGACAGGGCGGAGGGCAGUCGGUCGGAGAACCGGCAGCCUCCCUCCCAAACCCUGACGGAAGCUAUCAUGGCUGCGCGUGUCGUGGUGCGCUACGAGCCACCGCAAGGUACGCCGGUGCAUGACGUGUGGAGUGCGGAGCUGGACAUGCUCCUUGCGCUCGCUACCCAACAGCCGUAAGGCGAGGGCGGCCCAGUCGGUUCGAGCCGGGGACAGAACCCGGGACGUGGAGACGCGCCCCGCGUCUCGUGGCACAGUGAGCACCCUCCCCCAUCGGGAGGGCAAGGAGGCGAGGAUCCCGAGGGAUACUCAGACUCGUCACCGACCGUCACGCCAAGUGACGCUCGAGGCAUCCUGAACGCCUGCCAGUAGGAAGACCUCCGCCAGCUCUUGCAGUGCCGGCGCCGGCUCGAGGCAGAAUGCUCGCGCCCAGAGGAGCAGGAAGAUGCUCCCAUGGGCGCCGAUGACGGCUGCGCCGCGUUCACUCGCGAGCUGCGCCGGGUGACAUGGCCCCGCAAGUUCCAAGCGCCGACGCUCGGGACGUACGACGGGACCAUGAAUCCCAAGGACUUUCUCCUGACCUACACGUUGGGCAUGCACGCUAUCGGUGCCGACGACAAGGUCAGGGCCAACUGGUUCCCGAUGGUCCUCAAAGGAUCAGCGAGGACUUGGUUGCUCAACCUGCCCGCCGGGUCCAUAGCCUCCUGGGCUGACCUGCGUGAGCAGUUUGUGAACGCGUUUCAGGGCAGCUACAAGCGCAUGGGAACCAUGGCGGAACUGCACACUGUAGUGUAGAAACCGGGGUAGAUGUUGCGGGACUUCACCAAUAGGUUCUCCAACCUCUCCUACUCCAUCCUAGAGGCAGAAGCGGCCGCAAUAAUCAACACGCACGCCAUCAACUUCUGCGACCCGAAGAUGCGUGAGAAGUUGAACACGCACCGGAUCCGGACUACAGGGGAUCUACACGCUCUCGCACACAAGUGCGCGAUGGCCGAGGAAGGACGCUUGGCGCCCGAGCUUGCCGCCAAAGCGGCGGCAAACCCACCCGAGGGCUUCGGGAAGAAGGGCUCCCGGAAACGCGGUGGGAAGCAAGUGCUUGCCGCGGAGCCGGGGACUCCCGAGAGGCCCACCAAGAAGGCGGCGUCGGUGGAAGCAUCGGGUAGCAAGCCGGUGGUGGCCGCGCGCUGCCCCAUCCACACCAACGCCACCCAUGACGCGCAGGACUGCCGCACUCUCCAGAUCAUCAAGGAGAAGCGCGAACAGCGCCACGAGGAGCGCCGUGCUGUCGGGGCUUGCUUCAACUGAGGGGACAUCGGGCACCUCUCCCGGGACUGCCCGAACAACCCCCGCAGCGAAGCAGGCUGGUGCGCAGCCAGCGGCGACAAAGGAGAACCCGCGGGGGGUCGCGGUCAAGCCUGCGGCGGCAAGCACCAGCCUCCCUAGGGAUGCGACAAACCUCAUGCCGAACAGCGCGAGGAUGACUGCAGCGACGACGCCGACGAGCCCGGCUUCCAGGAGCCCCGCGACGUCGCCUGCAUCCAUGGGGGAGCAUACGUUCUCAUGUCUCAUGCUGUCGUGAAGCGGCUUACGCGUGAGGUCUACGCCCUCCUCCCCAGCGUGGAGGCGCAACAGUCGUUGAGGUGGUCGCAUGUGCCGAUCACCUUCAACUCGGACGAUCACCCGAUCCGUCCCUUGGGGUCAGGGGUACUCCCCCUCGUGGUGUCGCCGAUCAUAAACAACGUGACGGUGACCAAGUUACUGGUGGACAGCGGGGCGAGCCUCAACCUCCUGUCCGCCAAGCUAGUGGAGAAGAUUCAGCUGCACCUGGAGCAGAUGAAACUCACCGACCCAUUCCGGGGGAUCAAUCCCGGAGUGGUGCAGCCCAUGGGGCGAAUUACGCUUCUGGUGAUCUUCUGUUCCCGGGAAGCGUUCCUGACUGAGCACAUCAUUUUUGAUGUAGCUCACACCCCGUUGCCGUACAACGGGAUCAUUGGUCGGCCGGCGCUGAUCAAGUUCAUGGCGGCAACCCAUUGCGCCUAUGGCGUGAUGACGAUGCCGUCAACAUACGGCGUACUCUCCAUCAAGUGCGACCUGAAGAACGCUGCUUGGUGCGUGGGUGAGGUCGUGAAGACCUCCGCAGUGGCGGAUCCCGGCGACUAUGACGUGAACAGCCCGCACAAAAGAAGGCGCGAGCUGCUCCCGGACAGGACGCCGGGGGCAGCUCCAGCUCCAGCCUGCACGUUAGCAAGGGCACGAAGCUGAAGGAGGAGGGCACCAAGGUCAAGAAGAUACCCCUGCAUGCCGGCAACGAGGCACGCACCGGCUCCAUCGGUGCGAGCCUCGGCGACAAAUAGGAAAGCACCCUCGUCACCUUCCUCUGGGAGAACUCUGACGUGUUCGCUUGGGAGGCGUCAGAUCUUCCCGGAGUCCCCAGGGAGGUGAUCGAGCAUCGGUUGGCAGUGCGGCCAGACGCGCGGCCCGUCAAGCUGAAGGUUCGUCGGCAAGCACAGUAAUGCAAGGACUUCAUCCAGCAAGAAGUGGAGAAGCUCAAGAACGCUGGGGCAAUCAGGCAAGUGUUGUACCCUACUUGGUUAACAAAUCCUGCGUAGAUUUUACUGAUCUUAAUCGUGCAUGUCCUAAGGACCCCUUCCCUGUACCCCGAAUCGAUCAAAUAGUAGAUUCUACAGCAGGUUGUGAGUCUUUGUGCUUUCUGGAUGCCUUUUUCGGCUAACAUCAGAUUAAGAUGGCAGUUGAAGACGAGAAGAAAACAUCGUUUAUCACCCCGGUUGGCUGCUACUGUUACACGUGCAUGCCUUUCCGGCUGAAGAACGCGGGCUCGACAUUCCAGCACGCCCUGCGCGAGUGUCUGGGACCCCAGCUAGGCCGGAAUAUCAACGCCUACAUGGACGAUAUCGUCGUCAAGUUGUGGCGUAGGGACUCGCUCGUCGGUGACCUGCAGGAGACAUUUAACAACCUCCGCAGGAUCAAGCUCAAAGCUUAACCCCGAGAAGUGCACGUUCGGUGUGGACUCGGGGCACUUGCUGGGCUUCCUGGUGUCACACAAGGGAAUCGAAGCCAACCCACAGAUGAUCGAGGCGAUCAAGAAGAUGGAGGCACCCUGCAAGGUUAGAGACGUCCAGCGCCUCAACGGGUGCGUUGCGACGCUUGGGCGUUUGAUCUCAAGGCUGGGCAAGCGAGCCCUGCCUUUCUUCAAUGUAAUGAAGAAGAAGGGUCCGAUCAAUUGGAUCCCCGAGGCGGAAGCGGCGUUCCGGGACUUGAAGCAGUACCUGAAAUCGCCGCCGGUCCUCGUCGCCCCCAAGCGGGGCGAGCCGUUGCUGCUAUACCUGGCAGCGAUGGACCAGGUAGUGAGCUCCGUGCUCAUUGCCGAGAGGGAAGAGCAAGUCCCGAGGGCUGAGACGGAAGGGCCGGGGGCUCCCGGCGAGCCGAAGGAACCCUCGGCUCCCACCUCUGCCCCUGGACCCGAGGGACAGCCCAUGCAGGCUUCCCCUCGCAAGCGGCUAGUGCAACAUCCCGUGUACUUCGUCAGCACGGUGCUACGCGAUGCCCUGGUAUGGUACCCCCAGGUCUAGAAGCUUCUGGUUGGGAUCCUGCUCGCUUCAAGGAAGCUGCGCCAUUACUUUCAGGCGCACAGCAUCACGGUGGUGUCGGGGUUCUACUUAGAGCGGGCCCUUGUCAACCGUGAAGCCACCAGGAGGGUGGCCGAGGGGAGGAUGGAGCUGGCGGAGUUCGGGCUACGUUUCGCAAACACCAAGAGCAUCAAGAGCACCGCUUUCACCGACUUCAUCGCGGAGUGGACAUCGACGGGCAUAGAGGAAGAAGAGCGGGAGCGAGCCUUCCCGGCAGAUUGGACGAAGGGUACUGGGUCAUGUACUUCGACCGCGCCUUCUGCUUGCAGGGCGCCGGUGCCGGAGUUGUGAUCGAGUCGCCCACUGGAGAUCAUCUCAAAUUCGUAAUACAGCUCGACUUCGCCAACUCCACCAACAACACAGCAGAGUACGAGGGACUGCUGGCCGGGCUACGUGCGGCGAUCGCUCUCGACAUCAAGUGCUUGGUUGUUCGCGGGGACUCCCAACUCGUGAUCAACCAGGUAAAUAAGUACUACGACUGUCCCCAGAUGGCAGCGUACGUAGUGCGAAAAUUGGAGUCCAGGUUCAAGGGACUUCGGUUUGAGCACGUGAAGCGCAAGGACAACUUUGUUGUGGAUGAACUGUCCAAAUGGGCAACGGAAUGCAGCAAGGUGCCUCCUGGGGUGUUCGUACAGAGGUAGUGAAAGCCCUCUGUCGAUCCCAAGACGGUUGUCGGGGAAGCCCCUCCAGCAACUCAAGGUGACCCUGCAGCUGCGGGGGACCAUGCCACCAAGCUUGUGGCAUACACUAGCCGGGAACCACCAGCCUGUGGGACGGAUAUUAUUCAUUACCUCAGAGAUGCGACCCUCCCGGAGGAAGACGUUGCCGCAGAGCGAGUAGCCCGGCAAGCCAAAAUGUACGCCCUGGUGGACGGGGAACUCUACCGGAGGCGUCCUAACGGAGUCCUGCUCCUCUGCGUGCCCCAGGAAGAUGGGCGCACGUUGCUGGAGGAUAUACAUCGAGGCACAUGCUCGCACCAUGUGGCCUCCAGGGCGCUAGCUGCGAAAGCAUUCCGGCACGGCUUUUACUGGCCAAUAACAUUAGCCAACGCUGAGCAAUUAGUCAAGACCUGUGAAGCGUGCCAGUUUCACGCCAAGAAGAGCAACCAGCCAGUGCAAGCCCUGCAAGUCAUCCCGUCCUCAUGGCCGUUUGCGGUCUGGGGGCUGGACAUUGUUGGCAAGUUGCCAAGAGUAGUUGGCGGCUAUGAGUACUUUCUCGUGGCCAUCGACAAGUUCUCGAAGUGGAUCGAGGUGGAGCCUCUCCGAGCCGUCACGGCGCAGGCGGCCUUCAAGUUUUUCAAAGGUAUUGUGUGCUGGUUGGGUGUGUCUAACGGAAUCAUCACCGACAAUGGCACACAAUUCACUAGUGUGGUGUUCCAAGCUUACUGCGAGGACAUGGGCACUAAGAUUCACUUUGCCUCUGUUGCUCAUCGAAGAAGCAAUGGGCAAGUGGAGCGGGCCAACGCAGAGGUGCUGCGGGGGCUUAAGACGAGAACCUUUGACAAGCUCAAGGGCCACGGGAAACACUGGGUUGAAGAACUCGAGCCCGUGCUGUGGUCGCUGCGGACCACACCAAGUCGGGCGACGGGUCAAACUCCAUUUGUCCUCGUCUACGGGGCAGAAGCUGUGCUGCCCCUCGAGCUCAAGUAUGGGUCACCUCGGGUAUGCGCGUACGAUGAUAAAAGCCAACACGCGCAGAGGAUUGAUGACCUUACCUUCAUCGAGGAGAUUCGAUGCCGGGCUGCUGUGCGAGUUGCAGGCUACCUGCAGGGACUCCGUCGUUAUCACGACAGGAGAGUCCGUCCCCGGGGACUCGAGGUUGGAGACCUCGUCCUGCGCCGAAUACAGGAACGAAGGCCGGGAACAAGUUGACUCCAAUCUUGAAAGGCCCCUUCGGGGUAGUGUAGGUGACCAGACCGGGGGCUGUUCGGCUGGAAACCGAAAAAGGCUUGCCGGUGCCCAAUAGUUGGAACAUUGAGCACCUGCGCAAGUUCUACCCGUGAAACGGUGGCGGCUUACCCACGGGUGACGCUGCGGCAGCGUGCCUCCUUAAGCUAGUGUAGCCGGGCAAGGCCCGAUUGUAAUCCGCUAGCACAAAGUUGAAUAGAGAUAAGUGUUGCUUCAAUGAAUACUGUGCUUUGCUAUUUAUGAGUGCUUCUGCCUCCUGCUCUAGGUGCACAGAACUGUCUCCUCAUACUUGGCUGUGAGCAGGGGGCUGCCGGAACCCCGAAAACCAAGCUCGUUGCCGGGACGUCCCGGAACGAGGCCUAGCAGUUGCCGGACCCGUCCGCAACGUGCUACGUGCCAGCAAGGCACCAUGGAAGUAUGAAGAUGCUCAUGGACUUGCUUCACCGAGCUCACAUGGAGAACUGCAGGCCGGUGUCUACUCCCAUGUCGGUACAAGAACCUCUUGCUGGUGACAUUGGCACACCUCUCCAGGGCGACGAUGUCUUCCACUAUAGAAGCAUGGUUGGCGGCCUUUAGUACCUCACCAUGACACGUCCAGAUAUUUCCUUCGCCGUGAACAAAGUGUGCCAGUACCUUGCUGCCCCGACUGAUUCACAUUGCGACGCCGUGAAGAGAAUCUUGCGCUAUGUCAAAGGCACUGUCAAAAUUGGCAUCAACAUCCGUCGUUCAGACUCCAAUCUUCUCAGCGUGUUCACCGACGCAGAUUGGGCAGGCUGCGCCGAUGACCCCCGGUCUACUAGCGGCUACGCCGUGUUCUUCGGCGCGAACUUAAUAUCGUGGAGUGCUCGCAAACAACCCACUGUCUCACGUUCCAGCACAGAGGCGGAGUACAAGGCACUUGCUAAUGGUGCUGCCGAAGUAACCUGGGUGCAAGCUUUGCUAAAGGAACUGCAGAUUCCUCAGCCUCGACCCCCUGUCAUUUGGUGUGAUAAUCUCAUACUUGACUGCUAAUCCAGUUUUUUAUGCCCGCACCAAGCACAUUGAAGUGGAUUUCCAUUUUGUUCGUGAGAAGGUAGCACUUGGUGCUCUGGAGGUCCGGUUUGUCUCCUCCGGCGAUCAACUUGCAGAUGCAUUCACUAAACCGGCGACCAAGCUUAUCCUUGACAAUAUGAAGUACAAUCUCAACCUCGGAACUUCUGGUCGAGAUUGAGGGGGAAUGUAAAAUACCGUAGAUACUAACUACUAGUGCUUAUCCGGCAACAGGGUUGUUAGCAUGUUCUGUUGAGAUCCUAACUCCGUUGUAAUCUCUUUGUAAACCCUAACUCUUGUUGUAUAAAUACAAAGCACCGGCAGGAUGUUCACCACUCCAAACCAAAUAUUUUCACUGUCGUAACUUCCUAGUAAUAUCCCUUAAUGGUUCUACAGUACCUCCUUGUAUUAUACCCUUUCAAUCUGUUGAUCUUCCUCUCCAUUGACAUCGCUUGACUGUGUACGAUGGCCAUGCAGGUAUUUUCUACCUAUAUAUGAAAACUGCUGAGAGAGCUCACUUGCCAAACAAAUCGUGGCAGAGGGUUAAACUGCCCAAGAAUUACGAGAAGGCUAUGGAAGUAAUUAACAAGCAUCUGGUCUGAAUCUCUACUCGGUAUAUUUUCCCAUGCCAUGCAUGUUGACACAAGAUCAAUCAAGUUCGCUCACAGGCUUGUUUCGUUCUGCAGGAAUUCUGGCCCAAGUUACUUGUGCACAAGAUCAAGCAACGAUUAACAAAAAUGACACUGUAUCGGAUACGGAUGAGGAAACUUCAACUGAAAGUGAGGUGGGACAUGUGUUGUUUGGUUAUAUUAUUUUACGUUCAUGAGUUACAACAUGGAUCUUCUGAUUGAACACUGCAGUAUACAGUGAAAGCUAGUUUGUUGAUUAAUUAAAUUUCCAAAUUGUCUGGGAGGUAGGCAAGGGAACUUAGGACAGAGUUGUUCAAUUUUUAGAAACAAACAAACAAACAGAUAUAUACACCCAACUACAAGUGAGUAGAUCAACUCUAGUAUUUUUCACAUUUUCUUAACACACAUAUUUUAUUGGAAAGACAUAGUGUGCAACCAGCAGAACAAUAAACUAUGCCGCUCAGCAUGGCUAAAGUAUUUAUUUAGCUCACAAACUUACAGAGGAGAAUCCUCAAGGAGAGAGUUAUAGCAAGGUUGAUCCAGCGUAAAAUAUAUUAUUCAGUGGCAGCAGUAUUUUGUACGGGCAAUGGCAGGAGAAAUGAUGUUUCAAGUUGUCAUUCUGUUUUUAGCAGUAUUUUCCACUGGCAAUGCCAAUGCCACACAAAUGAUGUUUCAAGUCUCAACGAGUAGAUUGGCUCAUAAGUUUGGUUCUCAAGUACUGAGAGACCAUGUACUCCCUCCGGCCAGAAUUAUUUAUCGAAAUAUUACAUGUAUCUAGACGCUUUUUACACAUAGAUACAUCCGUAUUUGAGCAAAUUUGAGACAAGUAAUACCGGUCGGAGGGAGUACAGUUUUUUUUUUUUGCUUCUGUAGUUCUGUUCAGUGGUAACAGAGUGCCUCAGCUAGAGUGCAUAUGUAAGGCACUGCUGUGGAUAUUAUUCGAAUGGUCAAAUUGCUUGACCGUAGUAAACCAUGACAAGCAACUAAAUGUUGAAAACCACUAAUUAGGUACAUGUCAUUAAUAUAUAUAUACUUCCAGUUGCCAUAGCUGAAGCUGAAAGUUGAGAUUUAUCCAUGUUCCAUUUUGAAAAUCUCUGGACCUUGGUGUCAAAAUACUCCAGUUAUCUGGUUGCUGAAGUUUGGCAGCAGUAUAUCAAAUCAAGAUAAAGAAUGGACCUUAAUUGGUUUUAUUGAUCACCUGAAUUUCUCAUGUCAUGAUUUUUCCCCUAUUUAUGCUCUAUAAGAAUUUGAUUAGAAGGUAUCAUCUUGUUGACUAGUUGAAGCUAUAAAAUAACUUCACUAGUGCAUGAAGAUGCUGAGCAUAUUCAUUUGUGUUCUUCUAGGGAGAAGAUAAUGACAAUGCCUAGGAAGAAGACACAGUGUGAUCUCAGGAGAAUGGAGAAAGCAGAAACGGUUUGCAAGUGUAGGUUAUCGGUUGCCGUACUCUGACAUGUAGCCGUUAUGAUGCAGAGUAUUAUUAGUGAAUUAUUGGAACGCCUAAAAAGAAAUAAUGAUGAUGAAAUCCCAAAUGUCCCCUUCAAGCCAUUCGAAAAGCUUGUCGACUUUGACAAUGUUGACAUGGUUCCUGAGUAUAUCGAGGAGCAUGUAAGUACUGCAUUGGCAAGUACAUUUGGCAGGACUGUACAUAAGCUUUCUUAUAGGCUCAUAUUGUGAUUUGGCUUGCUAAUCCAGGAAACUGAAAUAGAAUUUGUUGAGGAUGAUGGGAUCGAAGAGAUGGAAGACAUGGAAGAUUUUGAAAACCUCUCUAAUGGUGAGGAUGGUAAUUGUUUCUCAUCAUUCUAUUGAUUUAACUUUGACAUCAAUAUAUGUUUCGGACAUGUUGUGCCCUUCAAAUAUGCUUCUCCUUAUCUGGGUUCAGUACGUCAUUCUCUGUUAUAAUCUUUGUCUUGUCCUGCUAAGAUGCAUUAUUCUUAUUUCACUGAAAAAGGAUAAUUGUAUGAACUCAUCUUUAAAUGCUCUAAAUGAUUGCAGGUGACAUAGAUGAAGAUUAUCUUACGGGCCAUCCAGUUGCAAUGAAACAAAAGGGACCAGGUUCCCAUUCCAGAUUAAAUAUCGGAAGAAAGUCAACAAAAGUUAUCACUGAGGUAAAGCACACCAUUUCAAAUUAUAGCUUUGCCUCAAUAAUCACCUACUUCUCUCAUUUGAUCAAUUCAUGACCCCUUAAUUGUUUUCUUACAUGCACUCUAUACGGUACUCCCCCAUCUCAUAUUAAGUGACUCAAAUUUGUCCAAAUAUGAAUGUAUCUAUGCCUAAAAACGUUUAUAUACGUGUAAUAGAAAGUCACUUCAUAUGAGACAGAGGAAGUAUUAUAAUUUAGUUUUAAAAAAAAUUAUGUAUGCAUACAUUGGUUUCAUAUGAUGAACAAUGCUUAUUUAGAACGAUCCCAAUGUUUUCAAGGUUAUGUAGCCUGAUUCCUGAUUCGGCUUCAUUUACCUCUUGCCUCAAUAUCUGUCAUGGGUAGGUUGAUGAAGAUGGAUACACCAACCGGAUGCAGAGGACACUUGUAUGAAUCCAGCACUCUGGCAGGCAUGAUCAUGACUACUUCAAAUCACGUGUUUGGUGUAGAUGGCCAGUUUUGUUGUACUUUUGGCCACUUUGUCUACCCUUUUAUUUGUUUUUGUUUUUGUGCUUGAAAUCCACAUGAUGUGACCACCGGUCGAUGAAAAUUUAGGAAUCAACAAAAUUUUGUACCAUGGAGCAUAUCUGAUCCAAAGCAAGGCGGUGGUGUGUUUGCUGUCUAGUCCGUAAAGGUUGAAAUGCCUGAGAGUACAGCCAGAAAAAAGUGUGGCUCUGUUUUUCUUGUUCAAGCUUGCUCUUGCCAAAAACAGACUCCUCGAUCUCAAUCCGCAUUUCAAUGAUGUGCGAUUCCUUGUUCUGACUUCGGUUUCUCGUCCACAUAAGAUAACUUUUGGGCAGAAAAAUACCAGGUCGAUUUGAAGAAAAAAAUACUCCCUCCGUUUCGUAAUAAGUGUCGGGGACUUUGUGCUAAAUCCUAAACAAUUGUUAUAAAUUGGACGAAGUAUUUAGUUACUUAAGAAGAAGGGGACUAGAGUACCAGAGGUGGCAUCAGGUGGUUUCUCUCCAACGGGCAAUUGCGGUCCUGGCAGCCAGUUUUACUCGUGCCACUAUAAGUUCCGGUACAUAAGACAUGUGCGGAUUCCUAUAUCACUAAUUUGGGUAACGAAAUAAUGAGUCAUGUAUCAUCAAAAGUUUAUCGUUAAUAACUUCUUUCCAAUACGAUUUUGAUGUUAUACUUUGUUUGACAUAUCUCGUAUUUUGUUGACCAAAUUGGUAAUUCAGAAAUACGUGCAGGGUCCAAUCUCUUUUUAGCUCACAUUUGUGCGAUCCUGGAUGUGAAGACACUGAUAUACAAUUACGGGUUCGCAUAUUUGCGCCCAUGAAAGCUAAAUCAUUCUUUCUAUCUUGGCAAAAAGUGCUUUUAGAGCAAAGCUCCAUGAAACCUGAAAUUUGGAAAACUGAAAAACCAUAUUUAAUAUUUGAAUGUGUCAAAAAUAUCUGAAAACAAAUCUACAUAUACAUAUGAAUAUGUCAACUAUAAAUUCACGUAUUAUUUAUAACUUAAAGAUAUAAUAGGGUUUGUUUGUUUCUAAACAUUGAAUUAGAUGUAUCAUAUGAGAUGAGAUGAGCGCUAUCCAUCAUGCAAUGCAGCCCCCUCUCCCCUCCCCACGACCACAGUAGGUGUGUCGUAUGUUCUACUCCCUCCGUUUCAUAAAGAUUGACACGGAUUUGAAUUAGCUCUAGUUCAAAUUCGUGCCAAUCUUUAUGGAACGGAGGGAGUAGAAUAUAGAUGCACAACACCCAGAUUUUAGGUGCCAAUGUACGGCCGGAAGGAGCGAAAACGAAUGGAACUAAGUGCUAAAACGGAUACGGAAACCUAGAAACAAAUACGGAAGCAGGUAAGAAAUGAGUACAUAGCAAAUACAAUAUGGACGCGAAUAUGAAAGUUGAAUAUUUCUUAAAACACAAAAGUCAAGGGGGCAUAGGGCGUUGGAAGGGUCGAGGAGGGGCAUCAUACGGUAGAAGAGGAUUCAAAAGAUGUACUCCUCCCGUUCCAUAAUUCUUAUCUCAAAUUUGCUCAAAAAUUGAUGUAUCUAUUUCUAAAAAGCAUUUAGAUAUAUGUAAUAUUUCGACAAGAAUUAUGAAACGGAGGGAGUACUAUUUAGUUUCACCGUGGAUUUCAUAUGAUGACCUUCCGUUGGACCAAAUUAGAGUGUCUUGUGUAGGAGUACGGAGUAAGAUAAACGAACAUUUCACUCAUUCAGAUACGACCAUUUCACACAUUCGGAUACGACUGUUUCCGACAGUGAUCUGCUAGAAAACAUUGCUGUGUUCCUGUUUCGCAAAUAAAAUUCCUUUUUCAUUUUCAUUUAUUGAAAUCCCGUUUGCAUUUCUAUUUAGCAAAACCCCCUUCUGCACUCAUUCUUUUUUCUCUUUAUUUCUACUACUACUUUUUUUUAGAACAGAUGCAAAGAUUUUGCUCCGUUUUUAGUCUCAAGCGAGCACUUUUCAAGUCGUUGUACCAAUCCCAAGUGCCAGGUUGCUUCUCGUUUACUCUUUGCAUUAUUAGUUGUCGGGCGAAAUGUGCUGCCAUGGCCCAUGGGCCAGCCCAUUCGACAUAUAGAGCCGCUAUUCAGUUUCAUCCCUCAACCCACUCUGGAAAUCCCGACGCCAUCACCGUCCAGCCCACCGGGAGGAGACAGGCGAUGUCUUCGUCGGCGACGGCGGCGGCGCAUCAGCUGCCAAGGUCGGAAUCGCGGACGCUAUCGGGACACGAGGGCGCGGUGUUGGCCGUACGCUUUAACAAUGAUGGUAACUACUGCCUGAGCUGCGGCAAGGAUCGCACCCUCCGCCUCUGGAACCCCCACACCGGCGCCCACGUCAAGACCUACAAGUCCCACGCCCGUGAGGUCCGCGACGUCAACUCAUCCUCGUACGCAUCCUCGCUGCUGCGCCACCUUCCCCUAGCCCCCUUGCCCCCUUUCUUCCCAUCUGAUUUGGAGGCGCAGGAGUGGGGAUUAACGAGUCAUUCUUGCCGUUUCCUGGUCCGCUGGUCCGCAGGGACAACGCGAAGCUGGUGUCGUGCGGGGCGGACAGGCAGAUCUUCUACUGGGACGUCGCCUCCGGCCGCGUCAUCCGCAAGUUCCGCGGCCACAACAGCGAGGUAUGCAUAAGAGUGAUAACUAGUUUGCAGCUACAAUGCCACAGAAGCAUUGCAUUGAGGGCCACCAUUAUUUCUGUACCAAUGCUAUAUAUAGAACCAGUAGUUUGUGAUUUAAUCGGACAGAGUAGUUCACAACACUUGAACUGAACUACGUCAAUUUGGACAGGACAACUAUUACACCGGGCACUAUUUAUUUACUUAUUAUAGAGAUCCAAGUUGGUGGUCGGUCGUUCACUUUGUUGAAACUAUUCUCUAUAUUGCUAAGAAAUGUAUGUAAUUGCACCAAUUCAAUAUGGUAGAUACAUGUAUCAAAACUUUUUUUAAUUACAAUUGACUGGAUUAAUGCAACUGAGAUAGUUGUUAUUCAGCACAAAAUCUGGGAACAUAAGAGCACCAACGCAUUUAUGCAACUUAUGCAACGCCGUUAUAAGGAGGGUGUUUUGACCUCUGUUCGUUUGUAACUGUAAUGGUGAAUGCCAUAAGGCAACUACUGUUGAAGUGCACAUCACUCUAAUACUACUGGUGUCCAAAUCAGUGUGCUGAAACCAUACUUGCAUAGUGGUAGCUUGUGGCGUAAUGCUGUUGUUCAAUCUACAUUUAGUUUUGUAUAUUGACAGUGUGAUUAUUAUUAGGCUCAUUGGAGUUGGAGAUACUAAAAACCAGACAAGGAACAUAUUUUAUGGCAGACAUUUGAUACUUUACUGAAAUAUCACCAUUCUGCUUCCCAUAGGUCAAUUCAGUGAAGUUUAAUGAGUACAACACAGUUGUCGUGUCAGCUGGUUAUGACCGUACGGCUCGUGCAUUUGACUGCAGGUCACACAACAGUGAUCCAAUUCAGGUGAUUUCCGAUUGUCACGAAAAAAAACAUAGAUUCAUCAAUUAUAGUAUUAGAAGAUUAUUUUCCUGUUUUGUUUGGAUAUGAUGUGAAAUUUAUCUUCUGGGUGCAGACAAUUGAUACUUUUCAAGAUAGUGUAAUGUCAGUCAAUGUAACCAACACCGAAAUAAUUGCUGGCAGUGUUGAUGGUACUGUUCGAACAUUUGACAUCCGUAUGGGUAGGUAAGUGCAUGCCUUGUUCCACCCUCAUAUCUCAACUAAUUUCAAUAAGCACACUUUAGUUUCCCUAAAUGAAUGUUUUGGUGUUCCCGACGCUCCUAGCAAAGAAAUGAAUGCAUUUAUCAGAUUCUAAUCCAUUCCUCAAUGGUUCUAAGUGGUUUAUUUUGUCCUCCUGUUGUUAACAGGGAGACUGUUGACAACCUGGGCCAUCCUGUAAACUGUAUAUCUUUGUCAAAUGACCGCAAUUGCUUGUUGGCUAACUGUUUAGAUUCUACUGUGAGGCUUCUUGACAAGUAAGUACACUUCAGAAGCUGCCAAUCUGUUUAUAUUUCAAUAUGGACAAUGGUUGCAGUGGAGGGGAGGCCCCUCUAUUUAGUGCUCUGGAGCAAUUAAGCCCUAGCCUCAAAUUUAAAGCAAUUAGACCCUUCUAUUAGUUUCCGUUAGAUAUAUUUCAUGGCCGGUAAUUUUGUUAUACAUGUACUUUCAGUUCCACAUCAGAGUUAUUUGUGGCACAUGUGGACUCCUUACUUGACAGUGGACAUAACUGUAAAACCAUUUCUCAUAUUGAGUCAGAAAACUCAUGAAACCUUUCUAAUUGUUUUCCUCUUCAUCUUGCUAUGAGUUCUUGCUGUCUAAAUCUAUUCAACCAAAGAGUUUGGCAGCUGCGGUAAACCUGCAGUUUCCUCUUCAAAUCUCUCAAGCAAUAGUUUAAGAAAUUACAGUGCAUAAUUCGGACACUCAAUUUUUCUUUAACAUUCACGACGAAGCUUCAAUUAACCUGGGUUAUGAAACUCGUUACCUUCUUGGAAAAUUGCCAUUUUUCCUUGGUCCUGGAAACAGAUGUCAAGCUAAUUGAACCUAGUCUGUAUUGUCGUGCAUCAGAGCGUAUUUGUGGAUAAAAAUUCUUGCACGUCACAAUUUAUGAGCCGUAGCUUCAACCUUGAAUUUUAGGUCUGAAUAAUUUUCUUGUGAUUUUAGUAUUUGAAUUAUGUUGGCUUUGUCUUUUAUUCAUCAGCAACACUUGCUGAUGUUUUUUUUUUGAGAGAAAAGGUAACAGACAAGUUUAGGGUCAUAUAUGAAGAUUUUGUUUUCUACUCUUUUUCCCCCUAAAAACUCUUAAGAAUGAUGAGAUAUCAGAAAUCUCUGAUAUACAGGAAGUAAAUGUUUGCACAGAUUUCAUCCACAUCAUCUACCAUAUGCAAUAAUGGAAGGUCAGCUACUCGCAAUAAAUAAAUAAUAAUAAUGGAAGGUCAGCACCAUUUUGUGGAGUGGAGGGGUCUUAUUGAUGCAAAGUUCUAAACAGGGGGACCUCGCUGCACUGUUGCCUUUAGGAUGCAGUUUUUUCUUGUAAUUGAACCUACUGUCUUUAUUGUAUUCAUUAGGACCUCUGGAGAAAUGUUACAAGAGUACAAGGGGCAUAUAUGCAAGGUAUCGCUUGAAUAAGUUUCAGUUGCAUUGGGGAUUUCAAUAUUUUAAAUCAGAACACUGUUUGUUCAUUCUUUGAAACUUUUAUCUCCACAAUUUCCAGUCCUUCAAGAUGGAUUGUUGCCUGACCAAUGACGAUGCAUUUGUUGUCGGUGGAUCCGAAGACGGGUUCGUUUACUUCUGGGAGUUAGUUGAUGCACCCAUCGUUGCGAGCUUCCGAGCACAUAGCUCUGUGGUAUUAAUCCUGUUUCAGAACUGCAUCUUGUGCUUCUUUGUUUCCUUAUUAUUGGUUAACUGUCAUUUCCUUUCUAGUUCGAAUUUUGUAUUCUUCAUAAUUCUCUCAUGCUACUCUUUCUUUUCUUUUUGAAGGUCACCAGCAUCAGUUAUCACCCAACAAAAAACUGCAUGUUGACAUCAUCUGUUGAUGGCACUGUUCGUGUUUGGACCUGAAGAUGGAAAUAGCUGAUGUAUUUAUCAUCUCUGCAAAAUGUCUCUGACAAUAUUCUCCAAAUCAUCCAUCUAGAAAGUUGCAACGAUUCAAAAUCUUAAAAGAUAUAUAUGCUAGUCUUUCAGUUGCUUGUACAAGAUACAUCCUUUUUGAGAAUGUUAUUGCUACAAUAUCGCAUUGACUCCAUGGAUAUGGAGUAGGUUGCCUCAGGAAAAGGCAGUGUACUUGUUCAUGUUGGAGUAUAAAAACUGGAAUCGUUAUCUAUGCCUAUCUAUUCAUCAAUGAUGACUAGUCUUUGAUCUUGGAUGGGUAAUGAAACAAUACGUUCUUUCGAUUAGCACCAAGAUAUUCGGUCAAGGAACUUGGAUCCAGUGCCUUGAUUGCUGGCUACUGUUUGUGCAAGCUUUGAGUUUUGAGGAUCAUGGAGAUUAUAGGGAGAAAUGAAAAUAAAGUAAACAUCGACAGAAAUGAAAAUAGAAUAGAGAAAGCGUGUUUACUUGUAUCUUCAUAAUGUGCUUCAAUUUAUGUCAUUUGCUAUUCCUAUACUCGUAUGGCACAGUUUCUUUGAUGGAAAAGUGGAUUGACUGCCAUGAACUUUUAUUGUUUCUAUUGCACCGUUGCUUGUCGCAUCAACCAGACUUGUUGGUUGCGCAGCGAAUGGGGGUAUUAUAUAAUGCCAGUGGGAGAGGCAUUAUAUAUAACCAAGAACUAGGAGUCUAGGAUUGCUAGCCAGAGUAGUGAGCAUUUUGUGUAUUCGCACAGAUGAGCAGACAGUGUGCCUACAUGGGAAGAACAUGUGCGCGCCAUCGUACUUCCUCUCCAUUUUCUUAUCUUGUUCUUGUAAAUGGAAGACAUUGGGAUAUAGCACAUUACAACAUUUGUAGAGAAUGCAAGAAAACUAAUAUCUGCUCGGUGAUGGGCUAUGAUCGACAUUAAUACUUUGGGCUACCAGAGAACUAGGAUGCUGAGGUUGGAGGAGGACAUACUACAUAGUACUAGGAGAGUACAGCGGGAUGCCUCUGGUUUGAUGCCUUGGUAGUAUACCUGGGCAAACCUCGGGCGGGGCUUCAUAAAAACCCGACGUUCAAACCUGAAACCUAAGCCCGGCCCGGCCCGAAACCCCGAAAAUAUGCCAUUUAAGCAUUAAAAUAAUUAUUUUCAGAAUAAAUAAAUAAUUUUUUAUGCCUAUUUUCCUAAAAAAUAUCCGUUUUUGUCAUUUCGGCCUUUCAGGCCGGGUUUGGGACUGAAAACUGAGACCCGAGCCCGGCCCGGGACGUUGGGCUUCGGGCCGGGCCACCCAUGCCCAGGUAUACUUGGUAGAAACGUAGGAUACAUGAGAAAUGGCCUUGAUAGAAUACAUCAGAAAGAGUACCUUACACAGCAGCAGUAACCUGCGUCAGCAAUCAGCAUAAAUGUGCCAUUCACAAAAGCUAUAAUUACUUGGUAGAUAGUGGAGAACUUGUAAGAUAACGGACAGGGAUUUUUGGAACACAGGUUCCAGUGGUAUCGGUUGUACCGACCAGUAGUUUGCCUCCUUUUUCCCGUGCAUGCAGGAUGUGUUGUCAGCUUUUCGGCCCACUACUUUGUAUUGAAUAGUGCCAUGUACUGGGCUGGCCCAGGUUCUCAUCUGGUGGGUACGUUCGAAUUUAACAGCGUCGCUAGUAGGCUAAGGCCUUAUUUGAACUUUGGGCUGGAACAAGAUGUAGUCCGGGUAGCGCUGGGCCGGCACAUGUUGUGUAUAUGAUCCUGGACCAUAUCGAAAUAGACGGGCCAGUUCGAAAUGUACCGGGCCCCUAACUCCUGGUAUGGCCAACUCCGCGGCGGAUAAAAAUGUAAAUCCCUUCAGGCUCCUUCCCCCAUGGCUCCUGCUUCUCUUCAACGAUGAAGUCUUCGUCUUCUGAUUCGUAGUCGUCGUCCGAAGAUUCCUCGUCGUAGUCGUCAAUGGCGGUCGCUAAGGAAGCGUGGAGUUCUUCGUCGCUUGCUCGACGGGCUUCCUCCCUUGCUUCACGAGCUGAGAGUUCGGCGAGGUAGGUCUCGAUGGAGGCGAGACGGGCAGCCUCCAUGUCAUAUGGCGCCGCGUGCGGAUUGCCGAGCACGGAGCUGCUGCCCCCGACAGGAGGCACAGGAGCUGGCGGGGUGCGUGGGGGUAGCGGCAGGCAACCGCGGUGGCGGUGGCGGAGCUCUGUUUCGAGAUGAAGGAGACGGGCAAGGAGACGGGCCACGUGUGCCUCGGCUAGCACUACUAGAAAUGUCAUGCCUUGGGCGACGCGACGAGGGAAGUGGUGGCUCGUCUCCGACGAGCCACCAGUACAGCAAGCGCUUCCUACCACUACCAGCCAUGGUUUUUAGGUGUGAGCUCUAUGCCCGUAGUCGGUUGGCUGUAGUCGCAUGAGUAGAAGCCCGCAAUAUUUAAGUACAAAGGACCCCUAUGGAAAGAGCUGCCCGGGAAUUGUAUCUGACAGGUCGAGCGUUAAUCCAAUGGGACUUGCCGGGCGAGAGAUGUUAAAUUCCCGGGAGAGAGGGUAAGCCUUUUUUUUUCAAACGAACACAGGGAAAACAUGGGGCAGGGGACAUCGCAAGAGAGACAUAAAAAAUAAAUUAGGGAUCGCUAACCUAUGUCAGGCAAAAUAGGGUGAUCUUUAUUUGUAGGAUUAAAUAAAACAAAGCUACCAAAUAAUUGUUGGAAGUAAUUUACAGGCCAGGGAUUUGCAUGAUGAGUCUUAAAAAAUAAAACUGUUGGGUUGAAAUUUGCAUGAAUUUUCGUCCAAGUACAGGUCCAUUUCGAACUGGCCCGUCUCCUUCGUUAUGGUCCAAGACCAUAUACACAACCCGUGCCGGCCCAGCGCUACCCGGACUACAUCUUGUUCCGGCCCAAAAUUCAAAUAAGGCCUUAGCCUGCUAGCGACUUCCUGUUCCGACUAGAAAAAAAAACAUCGCUGGAUAUGUUAACGCGCGUUGCCAUGCUGGGCCAGAAAGACGCUGCCCAGCCUGAAAAAGCACUGAAAGGUGUCAGAACUUUCCCAUGAAUACCAGAUAUACGUACUCAUGUACUAGUAAACUGAUUCAACGGUAGCGGUCGGAUUGGACAUUCAAUGGCCCAGAUUCCAUGAUGCGUGAGUACCAUGUUCUAAUAGGAAUUUUCGUAAGAUAACAAGUAACACAAAGAGAAAUACCAACGCAUCUUAAAUGAAGUAUGCAGAAUGUGCAACCUAUGCGAACGGUUUAAGUUCUACAGUGGGAGUCUCAAGGCGAGUUACGAAGCCAGAGUAGUAGAUUGGUCAUGGCAAGCUCUAUAUGCUAGGUGCGUGUGUGUGGAAACCGUUAUCAAUCUGUUUGUCUAGUUUACAAUUUACUUGUUGGCUUGAGAGAAUUCGAGAAUCCAUCUACCGCCAAGCAAUUUCUCAACUUGAAGUCUUGAAACGGUCGGUUUAUCCUCUUUAUCAUGCCAUCAGAGGGAGCUGUCGCUAACUCGCUGUCGAAAUCUGUCCAAUCAGUGGCCUUGUAGCUGCAGUAGCUUUUGUUAAUGCCGUGGGAUACUUCGGCCUUGAUCACUUGAAGCUACAGUCGGUAUAUACUCGUGCAGGAUUGAGAGGAUAAAGGCCGGUCAUGGGAAUAACAUACAAGCAGUACAUGUUCGAGUACAGAGACGAGACCUUGUGAUGAGUUGAUUUUAUAUGCUGUAGUGUUUUAUGUUCCAGUUGUUGCAUAAAAAUCCCUCAUGUCUUGAGCCACUCUCCAUGAUAAGUGGAUUUUUUUUUAAAAAAAUAGCACCAUAAAGAUGGUUUUCACACGGGACGAGUACACACAGGUUUAAAAUACGAUAGCUUUCACGUACCAAUCGAAACAGGAGAGGCAUGAAAGGAGCCUUAGGCAUGGAUGCGUGAAGCGAGCCAUGCAUCGCCGGCCGCACGCGACACGACCUGCAGACUGAAGUGUUGACGCUAUAUAUAUAACCAUUCCAUUACCGCCAAUUCCAGAGCUCAUCACAAUAACUUGCCAUUUUCCAGACGAGCUCCAGACACCAGUAGCAAGAACAAACGAUCGGAUGGAGGCCCAGAACAAAAAGGAGGCGGCCGCUCUGGUGCGGAAGAUCGCGGGGAUCCACGCUGCCAUCUCGAAGCUGCCGUCGCUGAGCCCGUCCCCCGCGGCCGACGCGCUCUUCACCGCCCUCGUGGCCGCGUGCGUGGCGGCGCCGAGGGGCCCCGCCGCCGACGCGGCCCUGCAGGCCGUGCUGGGCGCGAAGCCCAAGGCCCGGAGGAUGCGGGACGAGCUGGCCCGCCUCUGCUCCGACGCCGAGGCCUGCCUCGAGGCGCGCUGCUCCGACGCGCUCGCCGCCCUCGACGCCCCUCUCGACCACCUCAGGCUCUUCCCGUACUACGACAACUACGCCAGGCUGAGCGAGCUGGAGCACGCGCUGCUGUCCCGCCACGCGCCGGACCACUGCCUCGCCGCGACGCGGGUCGCGUUCCUCGGGUCGGGCUCGCUGCCGCUCAGCUCGCUCCUGCUCGCCUCGCGCCACAUGGGUAUGGCCGUCGACAGCUACGACCGGUGCGGCGCGGCCAACGACCGCGCCCGGAGGCUCCUGGCUCGCGCCAAGGAUGAGGAUGGCGUUGGCGUGGCCGCGCGCAUGUCGUUCCGCACGGCCCAAGUCGAGGACCUGACGGCCCAGGAGCUCGCCGCGUAUGGCGUGGUCUUCCUGGCGGCGGCGCCCGUGGGCCGCGCGGAGGACAAGGCCCGUUUGAUCGCGCGCCUCGGCGCGCGCAUGGCGCCCGGCGCGGCGCUCGUCGUGCGGAGCGCGCUCGGGGCGCGCGGGUUCCUGUGCCCAGUGGUGGAGCCCGCGGACGUCCGGCGGGGCGGGUUCCAGGUGCUGGCCGUGCACCACCCGGGCGACGACGACGAGAUGAUCGUCAACUCCGUCAUUGUGGCACGUAAGGUAGCGGACGGUGGAUGCCUCGAGCUCGCGCCGGUGGUGUCGAACCCGACGUGCUCGUGCUGCUGCGAGGUGGAGGCGUCGUGCUCUGGGAAAAGAGGCAGGAGACUGCCGCCGCCGACGAGCUGUCACCUUGACGCGAUGGACGAAAUCCGGAGGCGCGCAUGGUGAUUUAAUUUCCUGGUCGUUUUUGUCUGUCGGUGUGUCUCUGAUGGACUCGAAUCUUCCAUUGACGCUGGCAGUCUUCUUACCGAGGGAGUAUUGUACGAAGUAAAGCUAGUAAGCUACUGCUCCAGGCGUUUGUAACUAUAACUGUCGAAAAUAAAAGAACUUCGUGUGUAGUAUCAUCAGUACGCUGUAGCGAUCUCUUGCUUUGUAAGAUCCUUAUAAGAGUUUUGGUAGAAAAUCGCUGUGCUAAAAUUGAGGAAAUUCUCCAUUGACCCUGAAGAUGUCGUCGUUAGGGCAACAAGGAUUCACGUUCAUAGUUCAACCAAAAUGACCAAGCAUGUUUCUGACCAACUUGAGGUAAGCAAAAAGGAUUCACGUUCUCUCCCUACAGGAAAGGAUAAUAUCCUUGUUGCUAGACAUAUGGAUGGAAACAAAUCAAUUAAACUUCGAAUUGAAGCCUAUCUUACUUGUUUGAUUGUUCCAUUGAAUCUUAAAUCAAAGGUAGGAACUCAAUGAAUACUGCACAAACGAUAAACAAAAACCACUGAAUAUUUCAGCUUUCUGAACAAAUACAACUGAAAAAAGGGAAUUUUUCUAUGGGCCAUGUGCAUUGUAGGGGAAGAUGGAGAUACCUUUGCUAAGCAGUGCAAAGUUGAGCAGCUGCUGGCCGGCAGCCGGUGCUCGAGCGCCCGAUGAUCGCCGCAAUCGCCACCAAGAGCGCCAAUUAAUCCACGACUCGCACCUGCAUCAACUGCCAAAAGCCCGCCAAAUCGCGGCUCCUUCCUGUAUACUCCCCCGCCUGACCCUCGUUUUCCCUCCUCGUGACCGAGCUGGGCUCUUUUUGGGCUAAGCUGGGCUGGCUGCCUGGCUCUGUUGUGCUGUGAAGGCUGAGAGAUUCAGUCACCGUUGGAUCUGUAACGGACGCCAUCCGAGGGAGGUAAGUUCGCCUCUGACUAUGCCAAACGAAGUGAGAGAAUCUGCGCCGCCUCCCACGGAACAGCUAGAGGAAGUCGUUAGCCGAGCUGGCACACCACGAGGCCGUCGGUGCCCAGCCGAAGCACCUUGAGCUCUUCACGGCACCGCUCAGCUGGUCGCCGCACUUGAGCCCGGCGGCCGCCGCCAUGGCUCGCUCCACCUCCAACCGCGCCGCCUCCACCGCCGCACGCGCGCGCCGGAGCUCGUACAUCCUGAACCCACAUCGUCGGCGCCGGCCUCAGGUGUGUUUUGGUCAAUUUUUUUCUGCCUGCAUUAUUUCCUUGGCUCAGGUGUCGUGAGGGGAAGAUGUCAGUGGCAAGAGGGGGUUUCGAUCCGUGCUCGUCGACGGCGAGGUCUAGUCGGCCUUCCGGUGAGUUUGUCUGUUCUGUUCCUCUACAAAUGGAUGUACUCAUUUGAUUACUUGUGAUUUGUUGCGGCUGUUUUUUGUCCCCUUUUUUUUUCUGGCGGAUGUGGCGCUGCGAAGACGGCAGAGGCGAGAGGGAGGUGGUUUCGAUUCGUCCUCGUCGGCGGUGAGGUCUGCUCGCGGCUGUCUGGUUAGUCCAUCGUCGGCGAUGCGAAGGCAGUAGUUACCUCCAGAGGUUUUGCUUUCAUUUUCGUGGUAACAUUGCGCGUAGACGGCUGAGACUGGCCUGGUCUGACUCGGGAAGAUUUUUUGGUGUCAUUCUCCGGGUCGUGUUUGAUUUCUGCUGGUGGGGUGUUUGAUUCGGGGGUUGAUUUGAUGGUUUGUGGUUCUGUCUAUUAUGUAGUGAUUCAGAGCAGACUGAACCCUUUCUGAACGCCGGCUAAUUGUAGUAUGGAUUCAGAUUCAGACUAUGUUUUAGCUGCUGAACGUACUUUUGGCCAGUUCAUGUACUAUCGUUUGAUGUGUUGUGGUCUACUUCCUGGAUGUGCUUUGGUUUUACCCAUUGAAUGUAAUUACCUUGUGUAAUUUUCGAACCAUAUAGCAAAUUUUCAUUUCAGGGCCAUUUUCUGAUUCUAUGGGUUUAUCUAGUAUAAGUGUCAGUUUGUUGUGUAAUUGGUAACUAUAAGUGUCAGUUUGUAGCUUAUAAAUCACAUUUGCUAUAGGUCCCUUUUGUAAUAAAGCUAUGUCAAUUUAAAUCGCACCCACUAUCAAAUAAAAUUGUACCUUUUCUCUUGUUGUAACAGCAGCUAUUUUCAGACUGCAACUGCAUAUGUUAUGUUCCUAUAUAUUUUCUCUUUGUUUUUUUAAUUAUGGAAUCUAUUAAAUUGUAAUGAUUUUCAAAAAUAAUUGGAGUGAUUCCUCUACUGCAAUCCUAGCUUUACACACAAAUUUUAGUGCUUGAUAUUUUCAUUAGCCAUUAUGUUAUCUAAAAAUGGAGUGCUUCUUUUUAAAUAAUUUUUUCUUUUGGACUGUUGCAAUUCUACCCCUUUUUGGUCAUUUUUGUAAAAUGAUCAGUCUAUAUCCUGUGCCGUGCCAUUCCUUAAUUUUUUUUUAAUUGUGCUCUUUUAGAUUGGAUUUUGCAUCCAUUCCUACUGUUGCAAUUAUGCCCUCUUUUUAACUAUAUAGUUUCGUAUAUGUUGAGUGUGCACCCACUACAAGUAAUUGACCUAGAUGCUCGCAACAAUCAAGAUAGGCUCAAUGUUUGCCCCUUCUUUCUGUUUUACAGGAAUCUAUUUAAAAUGCACCCACUUUCAAAUCAAAUUGCACUUCUUCUCUUGUUGCAACAACAGCUAUUUCAAACCGCAAAUGCAUAUAUUAGAUUCCUAUAUAUGUUCUCUUUGUUUUCUUAGUUAUGUAAUCUAUUCAAUUGCAAUGCUUCCUCUGCUGCAAUCCUAGCUUUAUACACAAUUUUUGCUAUUUAAUUGCUUGAUAUUCAUUAGCUGUUGGUCCGAAAUGGAGUGCCUUUUUGAAAUAAAAUUACACUCUUUAGUACUGUUGCAAUUCUACCACUUUUAGGUAAAAAUUGUUGUAAAAUUAUCUGUCUAUAAGCUGUAUCACACCAUUCUUAAAUUUAUUUUUGAAUUUGCACUGCCUUUUACAUGUAUUUGCAGCGAGAUAAAAUGUUCUGUGUUUUUCAGAAGAAACCUCCAAGUUGCUCCCUCGCUUUCCUUUUUGUAUGUGUUUAUUCUUUUUUACACACUUUUACUUUUUGAUCACGUUAUUUAUUUUGCUAAUAUAUAUGGCGUGUUGGAUCACAUGUGUGUAUUUAAUUUGAUACAUAGCUUUCUGGCACUGGUCCCCUGACAACGCCAAAACAUGAAUAUUUAAUAUUUGUAACCGAAAUAUUCUCUCAAACACUGAUCAUAGUUCAAAUUGUGCUAUCUGUGGGUAGGCUAACAACCAAUAUCUUUCCUACUUAUAAAGUUUGGAGUUGCUGGUCGUCAAUUCACUUCUUCCGAACUCUUCUCUUGUCAUUUCUGACAAGUAGAUUGUACAAAACCGUGAGUUAAAACAUCAAGUCAUAACCUCCCUUACAUAGUCUGUACUGAUGCCUUUCGUCUUCAAUCUUCAUGAGUUUGGGUUCAUAGUUCAAAUUCAGCAAAGCCUAUCAUCAAGCUUUAUGGCAUUGGUUCAUAGGUUGACUAUCAUGCUGUUUUUAGUUAUAAUUUUUCUUUUUUUGACGAUUCCGUAUAGCAAAGCACAGGCACAAAGCUAGUUGAGUUAUAGACCAUACUCCUAUAAGUGGUGCAAAAAUACAUAGUUCCAUUGCAGACUACUCCAUUUGUGACCGCUCCUGCUGUUUCUGCUCAACAUUCAGAUGAGUCGCAUGUCAAAUGUUCAAAAGUAAUCCUAAAAGCCGGCCAAUUGUAGUAAUACCAAGAUCUUUUUGCUUGAAAAUCAGUAGCACCAUGUUCCUCCUAGGCAUCUUCAUACAUGCAUAUGUACUGAAAGCAACCCUGGCAAAACGAAGAACUCAGCCAAAGUAAGAAGAACCCGGCCAAAACCUGCAGCAUGAUUUGUUACUCUUGUUCCAUGUGUCAGAUUCAGAUUGCGAGAGGCAUUUGUGGCAGGAAUGCUGAUAGGCGUUUAGGCAAUGAGCUUCCGUGUGCUCACAAGAACAUAUCUGUCAUUGAUCACCUCACCACUUAAAUCAAAGGGCUACAUACCAUAGAUCCACACAUUGUAUUUCUCGCAUUCGCCAGCAACAGCCCACAAGUGCCAACCUCACUAUGCCAAAUGCUUUUUCUCCAGAAGCACACAAUUGGUUGACUGGCUAGACAUUUUUCUAACACCAUUUGAUGACAAGCUUCAAUGUUUUCUAUUAACACGCUUCAUGUAUAACCUUUGCGUGUGCUAUAUCAAACUUUUUAUAAGUUGUGACAUUAGGCCAAAUGGAAAUGAGAAAGGCUUUUGCCGUUACCCUGCCAAAUACGCCAGGUGUUUUGGAAGAAUAUAUAGAAGGUAAAUAGCUGGAUGCCAUGCAUGCCUGUGUGCUUGAAAUGCUGCUCUCUUCUUUAUACAUAAAGACUGAACUGAAUUUGUAUUCUUGCAGUUUCAGUUUGUUGCUGACAUUACUGUGCCGAAGAAGUAUUUGAUUCCAUCACUGCUUGCUGAAGAAUGGAGUUUACUGUGAAGCAAUCAAAUAAUAUAACAGGAUAUGCAUUUACCAGUUAUAAAUCAAUAUAAUUGUUUUGACUCGACUGGCAUAUUGAAACUUCAGAGAUUGCUGAAAUAAAAAAGAAUGUAUCCGUUGGCAUGCAUGGUGAUCAAUAGGUACACAUUAUGAAGACCAUUGUGUUAGUAAAAUGCUACUAAGUAUAAAUGGAUUAUAUGGAGUAGUAGUAAAUUGUGCAUAUGUAUAGGUGAUAUAUAUCUGUUGGCUCGGCAUUUAGAAUGGGGUCAUUAUGUGGAAAAUACUCCAGCUAUUAUAUUUUGUCUUUAGUUACUGAAAUAAAUGAGCAGGGUGUGAAUUUAGUGGAUCUGCCAAAUAUUAGCGUGAGCCAGCUAGCUCCGAGCCUCAUUUUUUAAAGCAAGAGAACAGAGCAGCUAUUCCACAAACCAAACAUUGCACUUCAAGUCUUCUCUGCUGAACCAAACUUCCAUACAACCCUUUUUAGUGCCUAGCUGUGUACCAUGGCUCAAGAAAACACCAACACCGACGGCAAGAACAACGAGGCGCUAGCGGCGGCGAACAGCUCCAAAUUCAUGAGUUCUGGCAGUGGCAGCAGGUCCAAGGACAGCGAUCUGACCGACGCGGGUAUUGUUGACAAGGGGAAGGGCAUCGUCAAGGCAGAAGAACAAGAAGAGGGUGGUGGAUCUAAGGGUAAGAUGAUGAGCAUAGUGCAGCCCGCAGAUGCCACAGCAGGAGGCAGCUGCCGCAGAGCGCUGCACGCCGCUACAGAGCGCGAGAGGCGGAGGCAGAUGAGCGAGUUGUUCAGCAACCUGCACGGCCUCCUCCCCAGCCUCCCCGACAAGGUAUAUCUCUUAUUUGGGUUUCUUCUUCUGCGGAUGCAGUCACAUCAAGGUGCUGGUCUUUCACUUCAAUUCUUACCGGCGUUUGAUUUUGUAUUUGUUUUAGACGAACAAGUCGACGAUAGUGAUGGAGGCGAUACACUACAUCAAGACCCUGGAGGGGACGCUGAGCGAGCUGGAGAAGCGCAAGCAGGAUCUCGCACGAGGCAUCUGCUUGUCCUCGUCGGCAGCACGUGCUACCAUGAUGGCACAUCAGCCGCCGGCUGGUGGGAUCUUUCCAGCGGGGGCAGCAGCUGUGGCACCGGUGGGCGCAGCAGUGCCUGCGGUGCCAGUGGAGCUCCAGAAAUGGUCGGGGCAGAACGUCGUGUUGAGCUUGUCAGGAGACGACGCGCACAUCAACGUGUGCUCGGCACGGCGCACGGGCUUGCUGACGAUGGUGGUGGCCAUACUCGAGAAGUACGGCAUCGAGGUGGUCACGUCAGAGAUCGCCUCCAACAGCUCUAGGAACAGGUUCACCUUCCACACCCACCGCGUAAGUAAACCCUUGUCCUCUAGGUUCUGGCCUUCUAGGGGUUAGGCUUAUAGAGGUGCUUUUAAUAGUUUUCAGUUGCCUCAAGAUAUUUUAUAAUCGUCACUCUCCUAAAAUUGCAGAUAAAUAAAACUAAAAUUACAGGCUUAGAAAAUGUGUAACUUCAGCAAAAUACAAGCAGUUCAACUUUUAUUUGUAACUGAAGGAACACGUGGUUUUAAAACAUCAGGUCGUGAAAACCGUUGAAUUUGGGCAUCUUGGGGCUUACUUGCCCUUCUUAAAAAUAGAAUCCACAAAGCACCUGCCUCAACAUUAGGGAGAAAACGUAAUCACAUGUUGUCUUUAUAUAACUAUACCAUAUGUCCAUAUCCAUCUGAUGUGAUAAGGUAUGUUUCCUAGCGCUGAACUUUCCUUAAAAAAUUUGUCGAAAUUGUCGAAUAAAUGGAAGAGUAAAAAUCACACAUUUUUCACGGGAAGUGUUCCGUUUCUUACAUAUAUCGCAUAUAUGCCACCUCUUACUGUUGUGUACUAGCAUCAAUCCUGUUAACAUACAGAAAAUGGCAAUAUCAAUGAUCACAUUAAAAUAUGGAAAGUAGAAUUAGCUGGCCCUUGACUGUACCCCUCAUAGUCUUAGGGGAAAGACCCGUCUUCUUCUUCAACAUCCUCAUCCAAGCCGUCCUCUGAACUUAACCAGUUCCCACUGCGUAGUCGCACACGUCCUGACUCCACCAACGUCGCAAAGAUCCACCUACUCCCCAUCUCAUUCCUCCUUCUCUCCUUAAUUCACUUUUGUUUCGGCAUCACUAUAGAUCUCGUGUUAUACUCACGCUGUUUGAUCACCUCAUCAGCCUCACAUAGUAGCAAUCCACCACCGGUCUGGUAGCUCAUCUCUCCCGUCGACGAUCCCUCUAAGAAUAGACAGCAUUAGUGAACCGAUCCAUUGAUGGGGUCGAACCCUAGCGCUAUUGUUGCCAAUUUAUCAAUAUAUACCAGCGUUUAGAGUCCCGUCUCACCUCAUAUUUUUCAUCCUCAUCUUGUUUCCUCCUCCCUUCCUGCCUCUUAGUGUUUGAUCACGACCAUACAAGAUCCAAUCAGAUUGUAGCAAAUGUUUUGGUGUUAAGCCUAUGGGGAGAAUGUUAUCAAUUUAUUUUUGACUACUACUUUUUGCAUACUCAUAUAUGUUAGUCCUUCUGAGUUGCAUAACCUCCCAGCUUGUACAGUUUUUUUUAUGUCAACUAGUACUAGAAUGGAGUUCUUCCUAGCUAAAAUCCUUCCUUGUAUCGAUGCGCUAGCUAUUAGACUAUAUGUAAUGUUGGGUCACAUUUGUUGGUUCAUUGGAAAAAAAUGUCAAAGCAAAUGGAUGAUUCUGAAUCAACCUGUCGAGUGCAAGCUUAUAAUGAGUAGAGAGGAAGAUGACAAGCUUUUAGUAUGUCAUGUAUUCUUUCCUUUUAAAAAUGUUACUAGCGAGCGUGGCAUGUACACAAAUGGAUGUCAUAGGACAGCUCUGCUUACUGGUAUAUAAACCGAGAAAAAAAUGCUGAUAAUUUUUUUAAUGAAAGUAAAACACAACUCUAAUCAAAUUGGAUGAUUUUACACUACUUAGAGACAGCAACAAAACAACACAUGAGGUAACAUGGCCAAUCAGAAGCACCCCGCCCCCCCAGAAUGCGGCCAAUCGGAAUACUUUUGUAGCCUAGAAACCGAAAUCCACCACAUACUUGAUACUUCCUCAAUUCAAGUCUUUCUCAUAUCAUAAUUGGAUAUUCAUACGUGUUGAAUUCUAUAGAUGUAAUUCUUCUUGGCCACCUCAUCUCACAGUUAUAUAUAUAUAUCGUUCAAUCUGGCCUCAUUGUGCCAUGAGCACCAACAAUAAGGUCACCAGCAGUCAUAGAAACUCAUUGCCAUUGCUGUUGUAGCAAAAUUUGCCUUUUCCCUGCAUCCAACACCAGUGAUCAACUCAUUAUAUUCCCAUGUGGUUUUGUUUCACACCUUUGCCCUCAUCACCCCCUCUGAACUCGGCCAAAUCCUAACAUAGUAUCGAAGGUGGACUUGUUAUUAUUUUUAGUUGGCAUGCAUUGUGUACUGUGUGGCUAAAAGUUGCCUAACCCACCAUUAGCAUCAACAAAACAAGGGUCAAAAACUGAAUUAGGGGUUUAAGUAAAAGUGUUGAAACAUCACAGAGUUAAGUAAGCUAUAUUUCCUCAGGGGGGAAGGGGGCUGGGUUAUCUAGACAAAUUGGCUAUUUCAUAGUGGGUGGGAGUGGAUGGUAAUUUAGGGGGUUCACAUUUUGAAAGCUAUGUUUCACAUGUGGAAAAUGAAUCAUGGCCUUAUGAAAAGUAAUGGUGACCCUCACAAUUUAUGCUAUUAUGUGUUAAUCACAAAAAUCCAGUGUGGUCGGGUUGCUAAAUCUGCAAAUUAGCUUUGGAUCAACACAGGGUUUUGAACUAUUUAAACUCCCAAACUUAUAAUGGUAAUUUGUCAAGACUGGAUGCAGGUGCUGAUUAUAUAUUUUCCCACCAUAGCUUUGGAAACUCCAUGACUUUAUAUUUUAAAUUAAGUGUAUACCUUGGUUGUGUUUUCUUGGUUUCUUGAAUUACACAUGACAUCUGCUAACCAUGCCAUCCGUUGUUUACCUGCGGAGUGAAAUAUGUCCAGAGUUUAAGUUGGAUCUAGGAUAAACAUAUCAACAGGUUGCAGGGAACAAUUUUAACCUUUUUAUUAAGGAAAACAGUAGGGAAAUUCCCCAUUUUAGAUCUUUUAUUAUACAAGAUUAAUAUUUACAAGAUAUGUACAUCCAGAAGAAAAAGAGAAUAACAUAGUUGUGGGAGGUUAUUGAAGCUUAUGUACAGUAGGGAAUAGUUAAAUAGAUUACAGGCCGGUUCGUUUGUGAGUGUUAGUUUUUCUUCUGUUUUGCUAUGACGUUUUUAUCUUCUUUUUGUUUGGAAAAGACCCGAUAAAUGAGUUGACAAAACCAAACAUCAUUUGAUAGUUUGAUAAGUUCUACUCCCUCCGACCCAUGUAAUAUUUCGAAAAGUAAUAUGAGUCAGAGGAAGUACUAGAUUUUAUACAUGAGCAGCCCUUGAAUUUAAUUGUUUUCUGUAAACAGGUUCAUGCAGCCAACAACCUGUUGGGGGAUAAUGUGUCGUCUGAGGACAUCUAUAAGCAGGCAGUUUCAAAGAUAACGAGUCUGCUCUCCGGAGAGAAUUAAGAUGGAACCUCUUCAUUCCCUAAAAAAAUGGAACCUCUUCGUUGUUCUCUUGAAGUUGAGGGUAUCUUGUCAUUUACAUUUGAGCAUUUAGCAUUUUGUGUCAUGUCAGAAUGGAACUAUGGAUCAGCCUCAAAAAAGAAGGAAAGAAUGUAACUAUGGAUCAUUCUGUGCAAUAAUGUGUCGUGUACACUGUUGUUUCGUACGUUGCUAAAACAUCUUAACUUGGGCUUUCCAAGUUGAGACUGCUGUUGUUGGGAUCUGCUGAUCCAUCUUAAAAUGUUGUUCUUGAUUCCGGUUCCGUUUAUUUUUAUCGAGAAUGUGUUAUUGAUUAAGGUUGCAGUACAAACUAGCGUUUGAUUGUUUAAUUUGGGCCGCGGGUGAACUAUCAUAUGCCAAUAGCCAGUUUUUUUUUUGAGAGAAACGAUACGGGAGCAACCAUCGUGUGGCAAAUUGACAGAUGGACCUUAGCCCAUUUCACAUAAAAAGAAUGCCUGGUGCAGAAGAUCGCCGGACAGACUCCACGCUGCCAUCUCGAAGCUGCCGUCGCCCGUCGCUGAUGUCCGUCUCCUGUGGUUGAUGCGCUCUUCACCAUCGGUGUGGACGUCGAGGCCAUGCUGGCUGGGCAUGAAGGCCCGGAGGAUGGGGGACGAGCUGUUCCGCCUCUGCUCCGACGCUGAGGUCGGCUCGGCUCGAGGCGCAUUGCUCCGACGCCCUCGACAACCACCUGAGGCUCUUCCCGUGCUACGACGACAAUGCCACCGAUGAGCUGCCACCUUGACGCGAUGGAUGAAAGCCGAAGGCGCGCAUGGUGAACUGCAGAUCACUUUGUCGGUUGUCGCUGAGUCUUCAUGUACUCGAAGGAUACACUAGCAGCCUAGCGAAGCAGAGUACGAAUUACAUUACGUACUCAGCGUGCUCGCUCUGUAAACACUGAUAACUACAUGUUGGUUUCAAAGGAAGGCUAUAUGAUUUCUUUGCAUAAAAGCGAUUUUGUUUGCAAUACUACUAUAUUUUUUAUGAAGACAGUUUUGAUAAGAACAAGUUUAUCUCAAAAACAUUAUCCAACGAGUGAGGGUCCUCAACCAACUCACCCAAAUCCUCAGUUUUCCAGCAAGAAAUUAGAGAGGGAGAAAGUUGGAAAGAAGACAGGUCUCGUAUGUCAAGAAAGAUUCAUGUGUCGUUCAUGACCGUGGACACGACUAUUCGAAUAGUUUUAUACUCUGCAGAGGUUGUACGCUGCACCCACAUGACACGAUCUUGCCUAACCAGCUGCCACUGGUGAAUACACAUACAGUACCGACAAUGAGUCGUGACAAGGUCUUUCAAAAGAACAUACUCAAUGUGACAUGCCCACUAGGUUUCAACACGGAAGGACAUCGCCCGACGAUUCACAGUCCGGGCCCCCCUUUUGUGCCGAGGGUUCCCUAUGACCCUAUCUCAGGCGACACCCCAUGAGCGGUACGGCAAUGACCACACUAAGCAUGAACUCCAUACCAAACCAAGGCAAAGCCCAUAUAGCAUGUGGUCGCACGAUUGUCACAAUCUUCAAAUUCAGGACUUAUUAGGCCUCAUCCGCUACGGGCAGCAAAUUGCUCCCACACAGGCUAGCAGUUGUUCCUUCAACCAAUGAUCCAGCUGCCACCCGCACCAGUUGCAUGGUAAGUUUCACCCAGAGUAGGUUGAGAGAGUACAAGAAGGUUCCAAGAAGAGGGACUACUCCUAGCUCAGCGAGCUCAACAACUUUCAACAAUGAUAUCAUCGAUCCGAAGAUCACUUAGAAACCCCCGAAAAGGCAAAUGAAAGAUUCCUAAUGAAUAAUAUGAGCAUGGCUAAGCAUUUCUACUCUACAAGAUUACUAUAUAAACUAUUCCAGGAAUCAAAGGAAUGGCAACAAGCGGAUCAUGACAAAAAUAGCAUGCAUGUUUAUAAAACAAUAAAAUAACUAACUAAUGCCCAUUUGAAAACAUAGGAUAAAUAUGAUCAAAGAGAGAGAGAGAGGGGGGGGGGGGGCAUGCCUUCGUUGAUGAAUUAUUCUUCUUCAGCUUCAGCUUCUUUUCCUUGUUCCACCUCAUCACUCACUACUCGUCGUAGCGAUAACCAGAACACACAAAAUAAAUACAAAUACAAUAAAGCCAAAUGAAAUAAAAAUAAGAGAGCGAAUAGACGAGGAGGCCAAGAAUAAGUUUAGAAACUUGGAAAGGAUAGGAACAACUUUGAUAGGAAUGGGACACCAAGAUUCAUUCUAACAAAGUAAACCAUAUACCCAACAUGAGUGAUAUAUCUCGAUUGGUAGCAACACAACAAACAGUCAUAUAGCUGAGCAUGAAUGAAAACACCAAAGGACAAAGUAAAACGAUUUGCCACAACAGUUUACAAUCAUCAACCAACUCCUAUCAUACCAAUGAUACCAGCAAGAAGCAUAAACUAUAUAUCAAGCAUACAACAAGAUGAGAGCAUGACAAAGGCUAAGAUAAAUAUCUAUGCAAGAUAAAGCUAUACAAACAAUUAUUGACUUCGACAAGGCAACAAUAAUUGAGAAACAAAGCAUGCAUGCUCUCCAAGGAUAAUAAUAAACAACCGAUAAACAAGUAUGAGGUAAACACAAACUCACAAGAGACUAUCUAAGCACGCAAGCACAAUUCUAUACAGCUAAGACAAAGCACAUGAUCUGUAGAUUCAACAGAUAAAAGACUGGUAAACAAGUCAUAAGAUUCUAUACUACUAAAACAAGCAAUAAUUUAUACCGAUGGCAUGAGCAUAACAAGACGCAUGAGAGAUGCUCCUUACUAUAUGUAACUACAUAAUGCAAAUCAUGCACCACAAGUUUUGUCGCACCAGUGGCACCCGGGGUACCACCGCUGCGCGACGCGUGGGCCCCAUUCCCGAGUUCCCGGGAAGGUUUCAUCCCGGGCAGCGUCUAUGAGUAGCCCGGCAAGCUACCAGCCCGGAAGGGGCUAGCGGGGCUUCAGGGAACAUUCCCGCCUGGGCACCUCCCGGGAAGCUGCUUCCCGGGGGAGGUUCCCGGGUGUGUUGGGCCCGGGUGCUUCCCGGGAUCGACUUGCCGGGGCAGGGGGUUCCCGGGCGCAUGCCCCCGCCUCAGGCGCGGGGCCCAGUGGCCCGAUCAACAACGCCACAAGGAUGCGUGUCGGGCGUGGGAUGCGCGGUCCCACCAGGGCAAGGAGUAAAGCGCACGGCUCAGUAAAUGAGCCGACCGGCGGGUUGUUACCCGUCCGAUCAAAGGAACAGUGGCUGUCCGAUCCUACUCUAGGGUUUUUAGACCCCUAGCGGCAGAGGUGGCGUCCAUGCGUGCCACCAGCUCACCGGGAGGAGUUGUAUGCCUCCUCGCCCGACACUUGUAGCCCAUGCACCGUGGCACCUGUGGCAUCCCCUUGAGUAUAAAAGGAGGACCCAUGCCAGCGGUCAGGGUUUUUUUUUGUUGGUCCGGUUCCGAGUAGGGUGAAAAGGCUAGGCAGAAGAUUAGUUGGCUCCAGCAGGCAGCUGGGUGACCGGCUCAUAGUCGGCUUCCAGCACUAGCAAAGGGUAGUAGGAGCUACCUAGCCAGAGGGAGAAAGCCCGGGAACUUGCCCAGCAACUUGUAAACUCCUGAUUCUAAAUCAAUAUCAGCUCAGACAAGCAGAACGUAGGGUUUUACACCUUCGGGUGGACCGAACCUGGGUAAAAAACGUGCGUGUGUUUGUUCUCGGAUUAGCACGCACUUUUUUGUACUCCCUUUCGCCGGCCCCGCCGGGCCUCAUCGGCCGUGUCGGCGAUCGCCAGGGGCCCUGCCCCGACGCCCCUACCGAACCUAAAAGGGGGCCGUGACCGCACACCCCCGGUGUCGGAGCACCGUGCGACGACAUCUGGCGCGCCAGGUAGGGGGCGCGGCAGUAGAGCUCCUCGGUAACCGCCGGCAGCGGCGUCAGCAUCGACGUCGGCCUUGCUUUCUUCGCUGACGAGACUAGUCACCAUGCCCCCCAAGCGGGCUGGUGAUCCUCGUAUAGACCCGCGUGAGGCCCCAGCGGCACACACGGGGUCGCACGACGUGCGACCCGAGUCGGGGGCUCAGGAGAACCCCGAGCCCUCGAGGGUGCAGCAACGCAGCUGCUUCCCCCGCCUCCUCGGCCGUCUGCUGAAAAUCGGCCGAGGGGACCGGCUGCCCCCAGUGCCGGGGCCAGUCACGCGCGCGGGCAUGGUGCCGCCCGCGCCGGCCAGCGAGUUGAGUCGCGGGCCGGGGAUGCCCCGCGGCAACGGCACCAAGAGCACACCGCGUCGCGGGCAACCCAUGGGGGUUCGCUGUUGGAGAUAUGCCCUAGAGGCAAUCAUGUGAUGAUGUUAUUUCCUAUGUAUUCAUGAGUUAUUGUUAUUGUCCUUGAACAUCAUCACUGAUAUGUAUCAAUAAAUACGUGAUUUGUUUGUGAGACUAUGUAUUCUAUGAUGUUGUUCUAAUGGUCCCUAGUCAUUGAGGUUAUGCGGACACAUAAUCUAGACUAGCAAUGUGAAUCAGUAUGAUGACUAUGUUUCACAAGUCAUAGGGCAAGGUGUUGCCGACUGAUAGCAUGGACUCGACAAUGAGAUUGUUGAGUCGGACAGACCCGCACUGAGACACAACGAGAUGAUUGUCAUUUGUUAGUCUCAAGUACGAUGUAUAUGCCAGUCCUAGACCUGAGGUCAUCGUAUGAGCUUGGGAUGUGAAUCAGCCUACUUAGGGGUUGCCAAACGCUACUCCGUAACUGGGUGGUUAUAAAGGUAGCUUUCGGGUUUGCUGAGAAGCAUGCUGCGAGUCAUGGUUGAUCAAGAUGGGAUUUGCCCCUCCUGUUCGGAGAGAUAUCUCUGGGCCCUCUCGAGUGAUCAGAUUCGGAAAGCAUGGCCAUGCGACUUGGGUUAAGUGUUAACCCGUUCGGGAAUCUGUAUCACAGGAACGAGAAGAGACUCGAGCUAUCCACAAGGAUGACACGCACUCGCCUUGAGCUCGACACACAUAUCGCGAGGCAAAAGGAAUGUUGCAUAUGACACAUUGUAUGGUUCGUCAAUAUACCUUGUGGUUACUCGGGAGUUGGCACGUGCUGCUAGGCGCCGCUACCAACUAUCGACUUGAGUCGGUGCCAGUGGACGAGUAAGGUGUUACUCGGGCCCGCAGUCCGAGCUCGUAGUCGUGGCCGACUGACCGCGAACCUGAAGGGUCACACGCUUAAGGGGUGGGAACCGAGUUGGAUCGGAUCCAACUCGUAUCGGGCUUGGACUCCUAAUGGGCCUCAAGUGUUGAGCCCACUAGGGACGUCUAUAUAAGUGGAGGAGACCAACCCGUCUAGGGGGAACCCCAGUUCAGACGCGAGUUAGACUCGGCCGUCGCACCUCCACGCCCAAAGCCUUGCGAUCGGAUCUAGCAGUCCGCCGCACGGAGUUCCUCCCUGUACGUGUGGAUACCUCGGAGGCGCUGCACCUGCGGCGCUUGGACGAACUGUUCGUGGGAUCGACGAGGAGGAGCAGGCUGUUCGACUACUCGGCAUCGACGCGCUACAUCGACUCUACUUCCGCUACGGGUCUGCGCGUCUAGUGGUAAUCUCGUGAUCCAUUAUCUACAGCAUUGAUCCGGGCGGAAGCGGUAGAAAAUUUUAUUUUGUGCUAGCGUAGCAUACCGUGUUCCCCAACAUUCGCACCCUGCACGCCCGGAGGCAUCCGGGGCCAGGGCGGGAAGCAGCCGUUCGGGAAACCGGCUGCCCCCCGUGCGAACCCCGGCGGAAGCCAUCAUCGCCGCAUGCAUCAUGGUGCGGUACGAGCCGCAGCAGGGCACGCCGGCGCAUGAGACGUGGGGCGAGGAGCUGGAAGCGCUUCUCACCCUGGCCGCCCAGCAGCCACAAGGCGAGGGUGCCUCGGUAGGCUCCGGCCAUGGGCAGAACCCGGAGCACGGAGACGCGCCACCCGCCUCACGACAGGGGGAGAACCCUCCCCCUCUUCAGGGAGGCCAAGGAGACGGGGGCCCGGAGGGGUCCUCAAACUCGUCGCCCACUGUUCCGGAGGGCGAUGCGCGUGGCAUCUUGAAUGCCCGCCAGCAGGAGGAUUUGCGCCAGCGCUUGGAGCGCCGGCACAGGCGUGAGGUAGAGCGCCAUCGCCCACAGGAGCAGGAAGACGCUCCCAUGGGCCCCGAGGACGGCUGCACCGCGUUCACACGCGAGCUGCGGCGGGUGACGUGGCCCCGCAAGUUCCGAGCGCCCGCGCUCAGUACGUACGAUGGGAUCGCUAACCCCAAGGAUUUCCUCCUGACCUACACGUUGGGCAUGCAUGCCAUCGGCGCCGACGAUAAGGUCAGGGCGAACUGGUUCUCGAUGGUCCUGAAAGGAUCAGCGUGAACUUGGUUGCUCAACCUCCCCGCCGGGCCCAUCGCCAAUUGGGCGGACCUGCGCGAGCAGUUCGCGAGCGCGUUCCAGGGCGACUAUAAGCGCCCGGGAACCAUGGCAGAGCUGCACACUAUCGUGCAGAAACCAGGAGAGACGUUGCGGGCCUUCGUCAACCGCUUCUCCAACCUCUCCUAUUCCAUCCCAGAGGCGGAGGCGGCCGUCAUCAUCAAUACCUUUGCCAUCAACGUCCGCGAUCCCAAGAUGCAUGAGAAGCUGAGUACGCAUCGGAUCCGGACGACGCAGGACUUGUACGCCCUGGCGCACAAAUGCGCCAUGGCCGAGGAAGGGCGCCUAGCACCCGAGCUGGCAGCCAAGGCUGCUGCGAGCCCUGGCGAGGGCUCGCAGAAGAAUGGUUCCCGCAAGCGCAGCGGGAAGCAAGUCCUCGCUGCGGACUUGGGGGCUCCCGCUGCGAGGCCCGUGAAGAAGGCCUCUCCGGGUGGUGAGCCUGGCGGGAAGCAGGGCGACACGACCCGCUGCCCCAUCCACAGCAACUCCACCCAUGACGCGCAGAACUGUCGCGUUCUGCAGGGGAUCAAGCAUCGGCGGGAGCAGCGCCAUGAGGAGCGCCGUGCCGCCGGCGCCUGCUUCAACUGCGGCGACAUCGGGCAUCUCUCCUGAGACUGCCCGAACGACCCAAGGGCGGGGCCAAGGCCUGCCGACGGUGGAGCCGGCAGGGAUGAACCCCAAGGGGGGCGCGGUCAGCCCCGCGCUGGCCGGGAACGCCCUCCCCGGGGACGUGACAGGGCACGCGUUGAGGAGCAGCGCGAGUCCAAUUGUACUGGUGGCGACGAGCCGGGCUUCCAGGAGCCUCGCAGCGUCGCCUGCAUCCAUGGGGGAGCUUACGCUCUCUCAUCCCACGCCACGGUGAAGCGCCUGACCCGCGACGUGUGCGCGCUGUUGCCGGAUGCGGAGCCGCAACAGCCGCUGAGGUGGUCGCACGUUCCGAUCACCUUCAGUGCUGACGAUCACCCAGCACGACAGUUGGGUUUAGGGGUAAUACCCUUCAUCGUCUCGCCGAUCAUUAGUAAUAUGACGGUGACGAAGGUGCUGGUGGACAACGGAGCGGGGCUUAACCUCCUGUCCGCCAGGUUGGUGGAAAAGCUCCAGCUGCCGGUGGAGCAGCUGAAGCCCACCGACCCGUUCCGAGGGGUGAACCCCGGGAUCGUGCGUCUGCUAGGACGCAUCAUGCUGCCGGUCACCUUCGGGUCCCGGGAAGCGUUCAGGACCGAGCACAUAGUGUUCGACGUGGCGCAUACCCCGUUGCCCUACAAUGGGAUCCUUGGUCGGCCAGCGCGGAUCAAGUUUAUGGCGGCCACGCAUUGCGCCUAUGGCGUGAUGAAGAUGCCGUCCAUCUAUGGAGUCCUCUCCAUCAGGUGCAACCUCAAGGACGCAGCCUGGUGCGUUGGCGAAGUCGUCCGGGCCGCUGCCGCAGCUGGUGCCGGCGAUGAGGAUGCUGUCGGGGGCGACAGCUUGCCGGGCGAUGCCCCGGCAACGAAGAAGGCCCGCGCUACCCCGCAAGAGCUUGCCGGGGGAGGUGCAGGCUCGAGCUCGCACCCCGGCAAGGGGCAGGGGCUCCGGGAGGAGGCCGCCAAGUUGAAGAAGCUGCCCCUUCAAGCCGGAGACAAGGAGUGCACUGUUACCGUCGGUGCAAACCUUACCGCCGAAUAGGAAAGUGCCCUCAUCACCUUCCUCCGGGAUAAUGCCGAUGUGUUCGCUUGGGAACCGUCGGACCUUCCCGAAGUUCCCCGGGAGGUGAUUGAGCAUCGGCUCGCGAUGCGGCCGGACGCGCGCCCCGUCAAGUAGAAGGUCCGCCGGCAAGCACAAGAGCGUAAAGAUUUCAUCAAGCAAGAGGUGGACAAGCUUAAGACUGCCGGGGCAAUCAGGAAAGUUCUGUACCCCACUUGGCUGGCUAACCCUGUAGUAGUGCCUAAAGCAGGGAAUAAGCUUCGCAUGUGUGUAGAUUUUACCGAUCUUAAUCGCGCAUGCCCCAAGGAUCCCUUCCUAUAUCCUGUAUCGACCAGAUAGUUGAUUCUACCGCUGGUUGUGGCUUGCUGAGUUUCCUGGAUGCUUUUUCCGGCUACCAUCAAAUCAAGAUGGCGGUCGAGGAUGAGGAAAAGACAGCGUUUAUCACUCCGGUUGGCUGCUAUUGUUAUACAUGUAUGCCUUUCGGGUUGAAGAACGCGGGCUCCACAUUUUAGCACGCCCUGCGCGAAUGUUUGGGGCCCCAGCUAGGCCACAACGCGGAGGCCUACAUGGACGAUAUCGUCAUCAAAUCGAAGCGUGGGGACUCGCUGAUUGAUGACCUGCGGGAGACGUUCAACAACCUCCACAGGAUCAAUCUGAAGCUGAACCCCGAUAAGUGCACCUUCGGUGUUAGCUCCGGGCAGCUUCUGGGUUUCUUGGUCUCACACAGGGGUAUACAGGCCAACCCGAGCAAGAUAGAAGCCAUCGAGAAGAUGGAGGCCCCCCACAAGGUGAAAGAUGUCCAGCGCCUCAACGGCUGUGUUGCCGCGCUGGGACGUUUCAUCUCCAGGCCGAGCGAGCGUGCCUUGCCUUUCUUCAAGGUGAUGAAGAAGAAGGGUCCAGUCGACUGGACUCCCGAGGCCGAGGCGGCGUUCCGGGAACUCAAGCAGUACCUGAGGUCACUGCCCGUCCUCGUCGCCCCCAAAUCGGGCGAGCCGCUGCUACUCUACCUAGCGGCGACUGACCAGGUGGUCAGCUCGGUGCUGGUUGCUGAGAGGGAGGAAGAUGUCCCGGGGACUGGGACUGCGGGGCAGGGGGCGGAGCGGCCCCCGGCAACCGCCUCAGACCCGGGGACCACCCCCGAGUCGGCAACCUCGGCACCGCGGAAGCGGUUGGUGCAGCACCCGGUGUACUUCGUUAGUACGGUGCUGCGCGACGCGCGGACGAGGUACCCGCAAGUGCAGAAGCUCCUUCUGGGGAUUCUCUUUGCGUCCCGCAAGCUGUGCCACUACUUCCAGGCGCACCGUGUCACGGUGGUGUCCGGGUUUUGCCUUGAGCGGGUCCUCACCAACCGUGAAGCCACCGGGAGAGUGGCCGAAUGGAGGAUGGAGUUGUUGGAGUUCGACCUCCACUUCGCCAACUCUAAAAGCAUUAAGAGCACGGCCUUGGCGGACUUCAUCGCGGAAUGGACGUCCACGGGCGUAGAAGAAAGUGAGCUGGAGACCAGCCUGCCCGGCAAGCUGGACGAGGACCACUGGGUCCUCUACUUCGAUGGUGCGUUCAGCCUUCAAGGAGCAGGCGCUGGAGUCGUCAUCGAGUCACCGACAGGGGACAAGCUGAGGUUCACUGUCCAACUUGACUUCGCUAACUCCACCAACAACACGGCGGAGUACGAGGGCCUGCUUGCCGGGUUGCGGGCAGUGGCCGCCCUCGACAUUAAGCGCCUGGUUGUUCACGGCGAUUCCCAGCUCGUGAUCAACCAGGUAAACAAGGACUACGACUGUCCUCAAAUGGCGCCGUACGUGGAGGAGGUCCGCAAGCUAGAACGAAAGUUCAAAGGUUUGCGCUUCGAGCACGUCAAGUGGAAGGAUAACUUCGCUGCUGACGAGCUGGCCAAGAUGGCAGCAGAGCGCCGGAAGCCUCCGGCGGGGGUGUUCUGUCAGAAGCAAGCGGCUCGUUCAGUCGCCCCCCAGCCGGCUGCCGGGGACGCCCGUCAGGCAACUGAAGGAACCCCUGCAGCAGCAGGGGUCCAUGCCGCUGACAUAGCAGCAUGCGUUGGCAGGGAGAUUCCCCCCUGGGCGGAAGAAGUCGCCCGCUACUUGAAAGGGGAAGCUCUCCUGGAAGAUGACGUCGCCGCGGAGCGGGUAGCGCGGCAAGCCAAGAUGUACAUUGUGGUAGAUGGUAACCUCUACCGCAGGCGUGCGAACGGUGUCAAGCUCAUCUGCGUGCCGCAGGAUGAAGGGUGCGCACUGUUGGAGGAGAUACACCGAGGCACAUGUUCACACCAUGUGGCCUUCCAGGCUUUAGCCGGCAAGGCGUUUCGGCACGGCUUCUACUGGCCCACAGCCCUGGCCGACGCAGAACGGCUGGUGAAGACGUGCGAGGAGUGCCAGUUCCACUCAAAGAAGAGCAACCAACCGUCGCAGGCCCUGCAUGUCAUCCCGUCCUCAUGGCCGUUCGUGGUUACGAAUAUUUUUUCAUGGCCAUCGACAAGUUCUCUAAGUGGGUGGAGGUGGAACCAGUGCGGAAGGUGACCGCCCAGACGGCCAUCAAGUUCUUCAGAGGCAUUGUGUGCCGGUUUGGUGUGCCUAAUAGCAUCAUCACCGACAACGGCACACAGUUCAUGAGUGCGGCGUUUCAAGCCUAUUGUAAAAACAUGGGCACUAAGGUGCGCUUCGCGUCCGUUGCUCACCCAAGGAGUAACGGACAGGCGGAGCGAGCCAACGCAGAGGUGCUGCGGGGGCUCAAGACGAGAACCUUUGACAAGCUCAAAGGCCACGAGAAACACUGGGUCGAAGAACUCCAACCCGUGCUGUGGUCCAUCCGGACCACACCUAGUCGGGCAACGGGCGAAACUCCUUUCGCCCUUGUCUACGGGGCAGAAGCGGUGCUGCCCCUCGAGCUCAAGCACGGAUCUCCCCGAGUACGCGCGUACGGCGACACCAGCCAACACGAGCAAAGGGUCGAUGAUCUAAACUUCAUCGAAGAGCUUCGAUGUCGGGCUGCUGUGCGAGCCGUGCGCUACCAGCAGGGACUCCGUUGUUAUCACGACAGGCGAGUCCGUCCCCGGGGGCUCGAGAACGGAGACCUUGUCCUGCGCCGGAUACAAGGAACGAAGGCCGGGAACAAGCUGACUCCGAAAUGGGAGGGCCCCUUCCGGGUAGUGCAGGUGACUAGGCCGGGGGCUGUCCGGCUGGAAACCGAAGACGGCUUGCCGGUGCCCAAUAGUUGGAAUAUUGAGCACUUGCGCAAGUUCUACCCGUGAAGCGGUGGACCCCGACCCUCAGGUGAUGCCGCCGAUGCAUACCUCUCGAACUAGUGUAGCCGGGCUUCCCGCAACGUGCAUCACUGGACAUGCGGUUGUCGGGCUUCCCGCAACGCGCAUCACUGGACGUGCAGUUGCCGAGCUCCCCGCAACGUGCACUGCGCAGUUGCUGCGCCUGGGAAUUGAAAUGCUCACAUCCAAGUUUGGCAUCGACCCCUUUGUGCCCGGGGGCCGGGAGGCAGGAGGAGUUUCUUUGUGUUGUUUUGUCUAUUUUCGUAAAUUUCGAAAUUUUUUGCAGCCUCAAGCCUGGUAAGAAUCUAACCUGCAGGAAAGGAUGGAAUCUUGUGCACGGUGAUGCCCAUGGGCUGCCCACGGGUCGCACCAUCCACCGGUGCCUUGUGGUGCGGGAUGACCGCAGCACAAGAGGCUCACCGCACUCUGAGGCUUCUGACUCGGGAGGGCGCCGCCACGUGUGCCACAGUUGCUUGGUGUGCAUGGCGGUGGAGAUUGUACCGUGUUUCAAGGAAGGGGUGCCACGGGUGCUGCGCAGGCCCGUCGCGCGCGGUGGCAAACCCCCCUCCCGUGCCUAUAAAAGGCACGCCCCAGCCGCGGAACGGCUCAGAGCGAAGCCAGGUCCGGGGCUGUUAAGGCGGGUGGUGCCACGGAGGCGCGAGGGUGGUGCAUCCCGUCCCCGCUUAGCGCCGACGGGCGCGUUGCCAUCGCGCCCCUGCCGCAUCACCCCAUCGAGCUUGCCCCGAGGGGCGUCGGAGAGACACGGUGGUAGUGCAUGCCAUCAGCGUUCUGCGCCGACGGGUGCACUACCGCCGUGCCCCUGCCGCGUUUCUUCAAGUGGGCGGCUCCUGGGCGAGGGUCGUCGCGGAGGCACUGUGGUGGUGCAUCCCAUCAGCGUCCGGCGCUGACGGGGUGCAUUGCCGCAGUGCCCUUGCCGCGCCCCUCCAUAAGACACCUUCGCAAGGAGCAGGGGCUGCCGCGGAGACUCUAUGGUAGUGCAUGCCAUCUGUGCCUUGUGCCGACGGGUGCACUAUCAUAGAGACCCGGCCGCAUUCCCCUUGAGAGGGCCUUUUUUCGGGCGCGGGUCGUUGCGAGGACCCUGUGAUGGCGCCGGUGCCGGCGCCUUCCGCCCGUUUCGGCCCAUCACCGUGUCCCGGCCGCGGCCCUCGAGCAGUUUUGCUCCCGGGCAACAAGGGCUGUCAGAUCCCUUGGGACGAGUUCUCCAGAAAAAACCAGGUCUCCCUAGUGGUGGGGGCUGUCGUUGGGAGGCUAUAACUUCCUCGCCACCCGUGCCUGCCGCUCGGGGUAGGGCGCAGCCGGCGGCGAGGACGUUAUAGCCGUCUUGCGGCCGCUCCUGGGGCGGAGUCCUCCUAAGCCAGGGUUCAUCCCAGAAGGCGAGGGUUGCCGCACGAGUGUGAUGGUAGCAUCGUCGUCGGCGGAUGCCGCUGGCGGCGAUCCUGCCUCCGCGCUCCUGCCGCAUCCCUCAGGAACCGUUUCCCUUGAACAGGUACCCAAGGUGGGUUCCUACCAACGCAGUGUCCCAGCCGCACUUUACCGCUGAACGUCAUGAGGCAUUGGACCGAACGGAAAAGCUAAGUGUCUGAACUUGAACGCUGAACUCGAUAAGAGCUGAACGAAAUUGAGCACCGUCUCGUUGGGUGUGGCCCCAGAUCCCGCGCGUAGCCAGAGUGUUAAAGGGAUGCUUGCGAGGGGAGUGCGCUCCCCGUGGGCUUCGCGGGUCUGUCCUGGAGGGGCACGGCUUGGAGUAGUUACCCCGCAAGUACAGUGGCUCCCCGCUACCGCUUGGCCCCAGGUCGGCACCGCGGGUCCGUCCCGGGUCCCUGGUCUGGUCAAGGGUGAGGCGUGCGCGAGUCCCCUGCAACACAAGGCGAAACACGCAAAGGUUAAAAGGGCCACCCUGCUAGACAGCACCGGGAAUAAUGAACAUGUGGAAAAACUUAAUUGACUAAAAAUUGGACGCUGCUUCGCCAAGUGUGGCCCCGGAACCAGCACGUGGCCGGGAUGUGAGGAGGACGCUUGCGGGGGGAGUGCGCUCCCCGUGUGGCUUCCAGGUCCGUCCCGGGAGGGCAUGGCUUGGAGUAGUUACCCCGCAAGUGGAGUGGCUCGCCGACUACCGCUUGACCGCAGGUCGGCACUGCGGGUCCGUCCCGGGUCCCUGGUCCGGUCAAGGGUGAGGCGCGAGAGUCCCCGGCAACACAAGGCACAACACGCAAAGGCUAAGGGAGCCGCCCGCGAGGCAGCUCCGGGAACAAGGGACAAAAAUUGAGCAAAUUAAAAAGCUUGAUUGGCCGAGUGCUGGAUGAUUACAUGGACUAAUCAAAAGAUGAUUCUUCAAACGGUGCUAAGCGCCAUACUUGCAGGAAAGCAAACUAGGGAAGCUACAUUGGGAGCAACGAGCUCGGAUGGGGGCCGCGGCAACUAGUUUUCGCCGUCUUCGGCCGGGGGGUCGGCGGGGAGAUCAGGCUCCGGCUUCAUCUGCAUCCACUCAACGACCUCGUCGACGAACUCGCGCACUGCUUGGGUGUGCGUGGGCUCGUCCUCGCUGUCGGACCAAGCGUCCAGCAGGGACUCGAAGGGUAAAUCUGGGUCUUGGAGAUGAAUCCACGGGAGGAUUGUCCCGGCAACCUCCCGAGCGCAGUUGGCCACUUCGUUGGCGCCGUACUUUGCGAUCCAGACGUCGAGCGCCCCAAGCUUCCCCACUAAGUCGAAAAAGAAGGGGAUCAGCGUCGUGACAUCCGUCCCGUCCACCUACGCCGCCUGCAGCUCGAACUUGGGCAGCAGGUCGCGCAACGACUGGGCGAUCUUCUGCAGCUUCUCCGUCUCGAUCUGCCGCUGCCCGAUCAGCGUGCCGUGAUGGAGUCGAGCGUCAUGCGCGGCCUUCUUAGCCUUGCUGAGGCGGCCCGCCAGCUUCACGAGCUCUGCAGCCUUGGCCGCAUUGUCCUCACCGGCCUUGACGAUCUCCUCCCGGACGGUGGCUAGCUCGGUCUCAAGCCUGGCCGCUCUGUCCUUGGCAGAGUGAGCUCGGCCUCGUGCCGAGCCGCCGCUCUCACCACGUCCUCGGCGGCCUUGACCUGCACUUCCAGCAUACUACUAGGGGAAUCAUAGCAUAGCAUAGAUACAAUAAUAAUCCUAACAAUGCAACUAAUAAAAUUUAGUGCAUAAUAAAAUAAUGGGAUGAUGGUCAAAGUGAACUUGCCUUGAUAGUAGUUGGUAUUCAGACACUCUUCACAGUCACACAGUUCGCUCUCCGAGAAAACUAUACAAUCAAGCAAACAUACACAUACAUAAAACACACCAUACAAGCAAAAGAUUAUGUAUGCCAUGAUGCAAUGCAGAACAUUGACAUGAGUUUGGUUUAUUUUAUUUGAGUGAUCUACUGAUCCAAAGCAUAAAUAAUUUAAGCACAUGCAAUUAGGGUUUUAAACUAGUAACAAAGGUUAGGGUUUAAACCCUAAAAUGAGGUUUUAUUUGCACCUGCAAAACAAUUUAAUUCAAAAUAUUUAGUUCUCUGUCCCAUUGGACAGAGGACAAUAAAACAAAAUUUUGGGCACUGGUUUCAUUCAAAAAGGACUCUCAAAUAAUUAGUUAUGAUUUAAAUGGCAUAAAACCCUAAUCUGUAAUUUGAAUGUGAUUCAAAUAUUCAAAUUUGAAAUUGUGAUCAUUUGAAAUAACAGGGGCCUAUCUGCAAAAGUGCCUUUUAAUUAAUCCGGGGAAAUAGAAUUAUAUUUUUAUUUUAUAACUCGGGUGCCACGUGGCGCGUUAUUAUUGGACGGUACCGGUUCGGUUUAUAAAUAUAUCCGAGCCGUUAGAUCUAACUUAUAAAGAUCGGACGCUCCACAGUGCGUACCGGUUCGUUUUAUAAGUGAUCUAAUCCUAGCCAUCGAUCUAGAUCGGACGGAUGAGGGGCUAGGGUUUCUUACCGGGCGGCGGCGGGCGGCCGGAGUUGGAGGAGACGGCGGCGCGGGCACGGGCGCGGCGGCGCGGGGCGCUCCAGCGAGGCGGGCGACGCGGGGGAGGCCGGGAACGGCGCGGCGCGGCACGGCGGAGACGGGGGCGCGGUCGGCGGCGCUCCGGGACGGCGCGGUCGGCGCCUAGGACGAGGAAGACGCGGCGGCGCGGGGCGGCUCCGGCGAGGGAUUCCGGCGGCCAGGCGGCGUGCGAGCGAGGGCAAACGGGGGGAAAAAAGAGAGGGGGUUGCGGGGAUUAUAAAGACGUGCUCGGGCGUGAAAAUGGAAGGCCGGAGGAGUAGAUUGCGGCGGCGGGCGCGCGGAGACGGCGGCGCGGCCGCUUUCCUUCCGAGGAAGAAGCCCCUGACAGGUGGGCCCCACCUGUCAGCGGGUGCGGGCGCGCGCGGGGGGCGGCCGGGCUGGCGGGGCCGGCGCACGCGGUCGGACUGGGCCGGUUCGGCCCAUUUUGGCCGGGCUGGUCCGGUUUUCCCUUUUUUUUUCUUUUAGGCCUUUUCUUUUUCUGUUUUUCUCAUUUCUUUGAUAUCUUUUUGUUUUGAACUCCAAAUUGGUCCAAAUAAAUUCCAGAAAAUUUGUAAAAUCAUGUUCUACCAAGAUACAUCUUUUGGAAGUAGUUUCCCCUCAAAAUAAAAUAUAUAAAAGUACAUUUGCCCUAUAAAUGCCUUUAGGGCUAUAUAUCCAUUUAAACAAAAUACUUUUUCAACUCCAAAUAAUUAUCCAAAAACUAUGGGAUAGCUUAUAUAUGCAUUAAAACCCUUUUAUGCAUAAACCCUAUUGGUUUGAAAAUUCCAAAGCUCAAAUGAGUGUAAACCAAAUCUUUUAAAGACUUUUGAGAUUCAAAUUUGAAUUCAAACAUGCAAUUGUGGCAUGAUGCUUAUGAAUGCAAUGCUCAUGUAAAGGUUUGAAAUUUUGGGAUGUUACAGCAAGGGUGACAUGAUGCUCAUGAUAUGCAAUGCAUAUGAAGAGUUUUGAAAAAUUGGGAUGUUAUAGAGGAGGAGGCGCGGCUGGCCCGGCAAGCCCUGGAGGACGCCCGGGAGCCGGUGGUCCCGGAGGCCGAGCUCCACCGGCAGCUGGAGGCCUAGUGCACGGAGCUUCAAGGGAAGCUGGAGUCAAUGGCGGCCACCCUCGAGGCGACCAGGAAGGAACAUGCCGAGGUGGUCGCGGCGGCCCAGACCCGGCUGGAUGAGAAGAGUGUCCUGAUCGCCAACUACCGCAGCGAAAUCCAAGGCCUUCGCGUCAUGCUGGAGGUGCAAGUCAAGGCCACCGAAGAUGCGGUGGGAGCGGCGGCUCGGCACGAGACCGAGCUCGGCUCCGCCAAGGACAGAGUGGCCAGGCUUGAGACCGAGCUGGCCGCCAUCCGGGAGGAGCUUGCCAAGGCCGGCAACGAGAUCGCGGUGAAGACCGCGGAGCUUGCGGCGAUGGAAGGAAACGUCCGCAAGGCUAAAAAGGCCACGCACGACGCUGGACUCCAUCACGGCACGCUGAUCGGGCAGCGGCAGAUCGAGGAGAAGCUACUGAAGAUCCGCCAAGUGCUGCGCGACCUGCUGCCCAAGUUCGAGUUGCGGGCGGCGGAAGUGGACGGGACAGAUGUCACAACGCUCAUCCCCUUCUUGUCCGAUCUGGUGGGAAAGCUUGGGGCGCUCGACGUCUGGAUCGCCCAGUACGGCGCCAACGAAGUCGCCAACUGUGCUCGGGAGGUUGCCGGGAGAAUCCUCCCACGAAUUCAUCUCCAGGACCUGGAGUUUCCCUUCGAGUCCCUGCUGGACGCUUGGUCCGACAGCGAGGACGAGCCCACGCACACCCAAGCAGUGCGUGUGUGCGUCGACGAGGUGGUCGAGCGGAUGCAGAUGAAGCCGGCGCCCUAUCUCCCCGCCGAUCCCCCGGCCGAAGACGGCGGCAACUAGUUGCCUCAACCCCCAGCCGUGCUUGUUGCUCCCCGAUGCAUCUUCUUUUGUUUGCUUUCCCUGCAAGUGUGGCGCUUAGCGCCGUUUGAACAAUUAUAGUUCGGAUUAGGCCAUGUAAUUGUUCGACUCUUAGUUAAUCAAGUUUUUCGACAUGUUCAUUGUUCCCGGUGCUGUCUAGUGGGGCAGCCCUUUUAGUCUUUGCGCAUUUUGCCUUGUGUUGCAGGGGACUCGCGCGCCUCACCCUUGACCAGACCAGGGACCCGGGACGGACCCGCGGUGCCGACCUAGGGCCAAGCGGUAGCGGGGAGCCACUCCACUUGCGGGGUAACUACUCCAAGCCGUGCCCUUCCGGGACGGACCCGCAAAGCCACACGGGGAGCGCACUCCCCCCGCAAGCGUCCUUUUAACACUCCGGCUACGCACAGGAUCUGGGACCACACCCAACGAGACAGUGCUCAAUUUCGUUCAGUUCUUAGCGAAUUCGGCGUUCAUGUUUAGGCACUUAGCUUUUCUGUUCAGUCCAAUGCCUCAUGACGCUUGGCGGAAGAGUGCACCUGGAGCACUGCCUUGGUAGGGACCCACCUCGAGUACCUGUUCAAGGAAAACUAUUUCUGAGGGACGCGGCAGCAGCGCGGGGGCAGGAUCGCCGCCAGCGGCAAUCGCCGCCAACGAUGCUACCACCAUGCUCAAGCAGCAACCCUCGCCUUCAGGGAGGAACCCUGGCCUAGGAGGACUCCGCCCCGGGAGAGGCCGCAAGACGGCUAUAACGUCCUCGCCGCCAGCUGCACCCCACCCCGAGCGGCAGGCACGGGUGGCGAGGAAGUUAUAGCCUCCCAGCGACAGCCCUCACAACUGGGGAGACCUGGUUUUUCUGGGGAGCUCGUCCCAAGGGGUAUAACAGCCCCCGUUGCCCGGGAGCAAAAUCGCUCGAGGGUCGUGGCAGGGACGCGGUGAUGGGCCGAAGCGGGCGGUAGGCGCCGGCACCGGCGCCGUCGUCGCACGGUGCUCCGACACCGGGGAUGUGCGGUCAACGGCCCCCUUUUAGGUUUGGUAGGGGUGUCGGGGCAGGGCCCCCGGCGAUCGCCGGCACGGCCGUUGAGGCCCGGCGGGGCCGGCGAAAGGGAGUACUAGAAAGUGCGCGCUAAUCCGAGAACAAACACACGCACGUUUUUUACCCAGGUUCGGGCCACCCGGAGGUGUAAAACCCUACGUCCUGCUUGUCUGAGUUGAUAUUGAUUUAGAAUCAGGAGUUUACAAGUUGCCAGGCAAGUUCCCGGCUUUCUCCCUCUGGCUAGGUACCUCCUACUACCCUUUUCUAGUGCUGGAAGCCGACUAUGAGCCGGUCACCCAGCUGCCUGCUAGAGCCAACUAAUCUUCUGCCUAGCCUUUUCACCCUACUCGGAACCGGACCAAAAAAAAGAAAAAAACCCUGACCGCUGGCAUGGGUCCUCCUUUUAUACUCAAGGGGAUGCCACAGGUGCCACGGUGCAUGGGCUACAAGUGUCAGGCGAGGAGGCAUACAACUCCCCCCGGUGAGCUGGUGGCACUCAUGGACGCUACCUCUGCCGCUAGGGGUCUAAAAACCCUAGAGUAGGAUCGGACAGCCACUGUUCCUUUGAUCGGACGGGUAACAACCCGCCGGUCGGCUCAUUUACUGAGCCGUGCGCUUUACUCCUUGCCCUGGUGGGACCGCGCAUCCCACGCCCGCCACGUGUCCUCGUGGCGCUGUUGAUCUGGCCACUGGACCCCGCGCCUGAGGCGGGGGCAUGCGCCCGAGAACCCCCUGCCCCGAAAAGUCGAUCCCGGGAAGCACCCGGGCCCAACACACCCGGGAACCUCCCCCGGGAAGCCGAUUCAGUCCCGGGAGGUGCCCAGGUGGGAAUGUUCCCCGAAGCCCCGCUAGCUCCUUCCGGGCUGGUAGCUUGCCGGGCUGCUCAUAGACGCUGCCCGGGAUGAAACCUUCCCGAGAACUCGGGAAUGGGGCCCACGCGUCGUGCAGCGGUGGUACCCCGGGUGCCACGGGUGCGACAGUAGCCCAAGGGCGUGGGCCGGCAUCACCUGUUCCCGGAAGAGUCUUCCCCCUGGUCUGUUGCCGGGCUACGCCCUCAACCGACGCGUGGGCCCUAGUCAGUCGCGGGCCCGCGUCCCUUCGCCGCCCCGUGUACGGAGCCGUUACAAACGGAGUAGUGGACGCGUGAUUUCCGCCCUAACUCCCCCCCUAAAUAGGGAAGUUAAGGCCACUCCGCACAUUACUCCUAAUGAUUAGGAGUUAUCCUUGCGCACCCGUAGGGUACGGAACCGGCCGUUACCAAAUGGCCGGGUGUUAUAAAGCCAUUACUGUUGCCAAAAAGGGGAACAAUACUCUGCCCCCAUUGCCUUCGUCUCCAUCCUCUUACGCAUCUCGCACCCCUGCGCUCCUGCUAGCCUCCGCCCUCGCUUUCCAUGGCGCCUCCCACCACCAGAAAGGGGAAGGAGGUUCAGGUCUCGAAGAGGGCUGCGACGAGCAAGACCGAGGCGGCAAUCAAGGCGGCCGCCGCCAAGGACCAGAAGAGGCGGGAGAUGCAUGCCACAGUCGCCUUCUUCCGCCCUAGCUACAAUGGCAAGGCGCUGGGGAAGCUCCGGCAUGCCGUCGCUUCCCGUUUCAACGAGCAUGGGGAGACGCAGAUCUUCUCGGCGGGCGCCGAGCACCAGGACAACGACUUCCAGGUGUUCGCGCGCUUCCUCCUCUGCGGCAUGGUGCCUCCCUUCUGCCUAUUCCUCCAAGCACUGAUGGAGUCCUACCAGCUGCGGGUGGCGCAGCUCCACCCCACGUCGCUGUUCCUUUGGUAUUCCGCGCCCGCGACCAGAUGAAGUCCGAGUUCAUCAUCCGGUCGGGGAAGAAGAUUGAAAAAGAGUGGCGGAGCGACUGGUGCUGGGUUCGAGUGGAGGACCCCCAGGAGUUCAUCCAGUCGCCGACGGAGCUGCCGCAACCCUAGAACGGCUGGCAGGAUAGGUACCACCGCGACGCCGACCUCCUCCCCAUCGUGGAGAAGAUCAAGGCGCUGCGGCUAGCGGAGCUCACCGAUGUGGACGUGGCACGCACCUUCAUCCAUCGGCGCAUAGCCCCACUGCAGCUACGCUCCCGGCCCGCGUGGAUGUACACGGGUCCCGGGGACAGGACACACCUCCAGGAGGACGGCAUGGACUUGGAGACCCUCCGGACAUGGGUAAGGGGGAUCUCCGGCGAGAUCUUUCAAUCAACGGAGUUCCCGCCGAGGGUUUCCUCUCUUCACGCCGGCGUCAAGGCGCUCAGCGACAUCGUCGGCGCCUUCCCGCCCUGCAACGAGUGGGGGUUGAUGGACGACACCCCCACCCGGGUCCUGCACGCUCCCCCGCAAGCGGCCCGCGAGAAGCAGGUGCUUGAGGAGAGCGGGGGUGGAUCCGAGCCCAGCUGGCCCUCCCUCCAGUCGCUGGACGACGAGGCGGGCCAGGCGGCUGUUUCCACGGAGGUCGUCGCCGUGGAGGACGACGACUAAAGCAGCGACAGCGCACCCCUGAUCCUGAGGAGAUCGAGGGCGUUUGCGGCGGCCGCAGCCCUCUCCUCGACGGCGCCGUCCGCCCCAGCAGCGGCACCAACCUUGCGGCGGCAGCCGCUUCAGGGGCACCCGUCAGCACCUCGACGGCAUCCGCGGCAACAGGGGCCGCAGGUGCCUCGGCGGCGGCUUCCGCCUCAGCGGCAGCCGCCGCACCGGCAGCCGCCGCACCGGCAGCCGCCGCGCCGGGGCGGCAUCCAGUCCCGGGGCGCCCGCCGAUACCCCGGCAGCGCCGGCGCCUGCAGGGGUCGCCGGUGCCCUGGCAACGGCCUUCGCCCCGGUAGCCGGGGCCUCCGCGAGUUCGGCUAUCGGCGCCGCGGCGGCCUUGCUGUCGACACCCGGAGCUCUUCGGGUCACGACGACUCCUCGGGCGCCCACGGCGCCACCUGCUCGGGGGGUCUUCCGGGGCUUCGCACUCCGGCGUAACCCCCCAAAAUCCUCCUCGCUGGCGGGUGCCAGCAAGAGGGUGAGGAGCGACUCCCCGCCCGGUACACCAAGCAAGAGGGUGCGCGCCGAGGCCGGCGGCGCCGCCGACCCCUCCGCCGCAGUGGUCCGCAGCGACGUGGGCGCACCCUUUGGCGACCCAGCUCCAACGGAGGCAGGGCCGGCAGCCGGUAUGUCUUCGUCACUCCUCUGGAAUUGCAAUCUUUGUUAGCCAAACUCAUGAACAUACCUUCUUUCUACAGUGAGCGACAGCUCGCCCGCGGCAAGCCUCUUGGGCACUCCCGCCGGCCCAGGCGAUGCAGGGGAGGCUCCCCCGGCAAGCCCGUUGGCCGCACAAGGUAACCAAGCUGGUCACCCUCGCACGUCUUCAAUAACGUCAUCCUUCGCCGAUCCUCAUCCUUUUCGUUGUUGCAGGCACAAGUGCGCUCAUGCCCGGAAUGGGCGCGACCGUGGUCGAUCUUGACUUGGUCGUCGAGGCCGUGGGGGCAGAGGUGGAGCCGGAACCGGAUCUCACGUCCAGCCCCGCUACGGCGGACGCAGCGGCAGCAGUGGACCCCCCCGCCGCGGUACAAUCUCCGCCGCCAUGCACACCAGGCAACUGUGGCACACGUGGCGGCACCCUCCCGAGUCAGAAGCCUCGGAGUGCGGUGAGCCUCUUGUGCUGUCGUCAUCCCGCACCACAAGGCCCCCGGACACAAAGGGGUCGAUGCCAAACUUGGAUGUGAGCAUUUCAAUUCCCAGGCGCAGCGACUGCGCGGUGCACGUUGCGGGGAGCCCAGCAACGGCACGUCCAGUGAUGCGCGUUCCGGGAAGCCCGGCAACCGCACGUCCAGUGAUGCCCGUUGGGGGAAGCCCGGCUCCCGCAUGUCCAGUGAUGCACGUUGCGGGAAGCCCGGCAACUGCAUGCCCCGUGCCGGAACGAUCCGGCAACGGGUUUAUGUUUUCAAGGCUCCAGCAGCCUCCUGCUCACAACCAAGUAUGGAAAGACACCUUUGUGCACUUAAAGCAGGAGAUAGAAGAGGGAGAAGCAUGCGAAUAAACAAGGGAAAUUCAAAGCUCAGGGACGAGACACUUAUCUUUAUUCACAAUAACUAGUGGUUUACACACGGGGGCUGCCCGGCUACACUAGUUCGAGAGGUAUCCAUCGGCGGCAUCACCUGAGGGUCGGGCUCCGCUGCUUCACGGGUAGAACUUGCGCAAGUGCUCAAUAUUCCAAUUAUUGGGCACCAUCUUCUCGAUGGCUUCUAUCUUGCUCGGGUUGGCCUGUAUACCCCUGUGUGAGACCAAGAAACCCAGAAGCUGCCCGGAGCUAACACCGAAGGUGCACUUAUCGGGGUUCAGCUUGAGAUUGAUCUUGCGGAGGUUGUUGAACGUCUCCCGCAGGUCAUCAAUCAGCGAGCCCCCACGCUUCGAUUUGAUGAUGAUAUCGUCCAUGUAGGCCUCCGCGUUGUGGCCUAGCUGGGGCCCCAAACAUUCGCGCAGGGCGUGCUAAAAUGUGGAGCCCGCGUUCUUCAACCCGAAAGGCAUACAUGUAUAACAAUAGCAGCCAACCGGAGUGAUAAACGCUGUCUUUUCCUCAUCCUCGACCGCCAUCUUGAUUUGAUGGUAGCCGGAAAAAGCAUCCAGGAAACUCAGCAAGCCACAACCAGCGGUAGAAUCAACUAUCUGGUCGAUACAGGAUAUAGGAAGGGAUCCUUGGGGCAUGCGCGAUUAAGAUCGGUAAAAUCUACACACAUGCGAAGCUUAUUCCCUGCUUUAGGCACUACUACAGGGUUAGCCAGCCAAGUGGGGUACAGAACUUCCCUGAUUGCCCCGGCAGCCUUAAGCUUGCCCACCUCUUGCUUGAUGAAAUCUUUACGCUCUUGUGCUUGCCGGCGGACCUUCUGCAUGACGGGGCGCGCGUCCGGGCGCACCGCGAGUCGAUGCUCAAUCACCUCCCGGAGAACUCUGGGAAGGUCCGACAGUUCCCGGAGCCCCUGCCCCUUGCCGGGGUGCGAGCUCGAGCCUGCACCUCCCCCGGCAAGCUCUUGCGGGGUAGCGCGGGCCUUCUUUGUUGCCGGGGCAUCGCCCGGCAAGCUGUCGCCCCCGACAGCAUCCUCGUCGCCGGCGUCAGCUGCGGCAGCGGCCCGGACGACUUCGCCAACGCACCAGGCCGUGUCCUUGAGGUCGCACCUGAUGGAGAGGACUCCAUAGACGGACGGUAUCUUCAUCACGCCAUAGGCGCAAUGCGUGGCCGCCAUAAACUUGAUCAGCGCUGGCUGACCAAGGAUCCCGUUGUAGGGCAACGGGGUAUGCGCUAUGUCGAACACUAUGUGCUCGGUCCUGAACGCUUCCCGGUACCUGAAGGUGACCGGCAGCGUGAUGCGUCCCAGCGGAUGCACGAUCCCGGGGUUCACCCCUCGGAACGGGUCGGUGAGCUUCACCUGCUCCACCGGCAGCUGGAGCUUUUCCACCAACCUGGCGGACAAGAGGUUAAGCCCCCCUCCAUUGUCCACCAGCACCUUGGUCACCGUCAUAUUACUAAUGAUCGGCGAGACGACGAAGGGUAUUACCCCUGAACCCAACUGUCGUGCUGGGUGAUCGUCAGCGCUGAAGGUGAUCGGCACGUGCGACCACCUCAGCGGUUGUUGCGGCUCCGCAUCCGGCAAUUGCGCGCACACGUUGCGGGUGAGGCGCUUCACCACGGCGUGGGAUGAGAGAGCGUAUGCUCCCCCAUGGAUGCAGGCGACGCCGCGAGGCUCCUGGAAGCCCGGCUCGUCGCGGCCAGUACAAUCGGACUCGCGCUGCUCCUCAGCGCGUGCCCUGUCACGUCCCCGGGGAGGGCGUUCCCGGCCAGCGCGGGCCUGACCGCGCCCCCCUUGGGGUUCAUCCCUGCCGGCUCCACCGCCUGCAGGCCUUGGCCGUGCCCUGGGGUCGUUCAGGCAGUCUCGGGAGAGAUGCCCGAUGUCGCCGCAGUUGAAGCAGGCGCCGGCGGCGCGGCGCUCCUCAUGGCGCUGUUCCCGCCGAUGCUUGAUCCCCUGCAGAACGCGGCAGUUCUGCGCGUCAUGGGUGGAGUUGCUGUGGAUGGGGCAGCGGGCCGCGUCGCCCUGCUUCCCGCCAGGCCCACCACCCGGCGAUGCCUUCUUCGCGGGCCUCGCCGCGGGAGCCCCCGAGUCCGCAGCGAGAACUUACUUCCCGCUGCGCUUGCGGGAACCCUUCUUCGGCGAGCCCUCGCCAGGGCGCGCGGCAGCCUUGGCUGCCAGCUCGGGCGCUAGGCGCCCUUCCUCGGCCAGGGCGUACAAGUCCUGCGUCGUCCGGAUCCGAUGCGUGCUCAGCUUCUCGCGCAUCUUGGGAUCGCGGACGUUGAUGGCGAAGGUAUUGAUGAUGGCGGCCGGCUCCGCCUCUGGGAUGGAAUAGGAGAGGUUGGAGAAGCGGUUGACGAAGGCCCGCAAUGUCUCUCCUGGUUUCUGCAUGAUAGUGUGCAGCUCCGCCAUGGUUCCCGGGCGCUUAUAGCCGCCCUGGAACGCGCUCCCGAACUGCUCGCGCAGGUCCGCCCAAGUGGCGAGGGACCCGGCGGGCAGGUUGAGCAACCAAGUUCGCGUUGAUCCUUUCAGGACCAUCGGGAACCAGUUCGCCCUGACCUUAUCAUCGGCGCCGAUGGCAUGCAUGCCCAACAUGUAGGUCAGGAGGAAAUCCUUGGGCUUAGCGGUCCCGUCGUACGUACCGAGCGCGGGCGCUCGGAACAUGCGGGGCCACGUCACCCGCCGCAGCUCGCGUGUGAACGCGGUGCAGCUAUCCUCGGGGCCCAUGGGAGCGUCUUCCUGCUCCUGUGGGCGAUGGCGCUCUACCUCACGCCUGCGUCGGCGCUCCAAGCGCGAGCGCAAAUCCUCCUGCUGGCGGGCAUUCAAGAUGCCACGUGCAUCGCCCCCCGGAACGGUGGGCGACGAGUUUGAGGACCCCUCCGGGCCCCCGUCUCCUUGGCCUCCCUGAAGAGGGGGAGGGUUUUCCCCCUGUCGUGAGGCGGGUGGCGCGUCUCCGCGCUCCGGGUUCUGCCUGUGGCCGGAGCCUACCGAGGCGCCCUCGCCUUGUGGCUGCUGGGCGGCCAGGGUGAGAAGCGCUUCCAGCUCCUUGCCCCACGUCUCAUGCGCCGGCGUGCCCUGCUGUGGCUCGUACCGCACCAUGAUGCAUGCGGCGAUGAUGGCUUCCGUCGGGGUUCGCACGGGGGGCAGCCGGUUUCCCGAACGGCUGCUUCCCGCCCUGGCCCCGGAUGCCUCCGGGCGUGCAGGGUGCGAACCCCCAUGGGUCGCCCGCGACGCGGUGUGCUCCUGGUGCCGUUGCCGCGGGGCAUCCCCGGCCCGCGACUCAACUCGCUGGCCGGCGCGGGCGGCACCAUGCCCGCUCGCGCGACUGGCCCCGGCACUGGGGGCAGUUGGUCCCUUCGGCCGAUUGUCAGCAGACGGCCGAGGAGGCGGGGGAAGCAGCUGUGUUUGCUGCACCCUCGAGGGCUCGGGGUUCUCCUGAGCCCCCGACUCGGGUCGCACGUCGUGCGACCGCGUGUGUGCCGCUGGGGCCUCACGCGGGUCUAUACGGGGAUCACCAGCCCGCUUGGGGGGCAUGGCGACUAGUGUCGUCGACGAAGAAAGCAAGGCCGACAUCGAUGCUGACGCCGCUGCCGGCAGUUACCGAGGAGCUCUACACCCACGCCCCCUACCUGGCGCGUCAGAUGUCGUCGCACGGUGCUCCAACACCGGGGGUGUGUGGUCACGGCCCCCUUUUAGGUUCGGUAGGGGUGUCGGGGCAGGGCCCCAAGCGAUCACCGGCACGGCCGAUGAGGCCCGGCGGGGCCAGCGAAAGGGAGUACUAGAAAGUGUGCGCUAAUCCGAGAACAAACACACGCACGUUUUUUACCCAGGUUCGGGCCACCCGGAGGUGUAAAACCCUACGUCCUGCUUGUCUGAGCUGAUAUUGGUAGUGAAUCGAGUGUUUACAAGUUGCCGGGUAAGUUCUCGGGUACUCUCUCCCUCUGGCUAGGUACUCCUUACUAUUCUCUGCUAAAGCUAGAGGCUAACUGUGGGAUGAUCGAACUCAGCCGAACCCUACCGUCUACUGGGACCAACUGAGAUUCCAACCGAACGAACCCUUUGACCGUUGGCGGGGGUCCUCCUUUUAUACUCAAGGGGAUGCCAUAGGUGCCACGGUGCAUGGGCCACAAGUGUCGAGCGGGGAGGCAUACAACUCCCCCCCGGUGAGCUGGUGGCGCGCAUGCACGCCACCUCCGCCGCUAGGGGUCUAAAACCCUAGAGUAGGAUUGGACAACCAUUGUUCACUUGAUCGGACGGGUAACGCCCCGUCGAUCAACUCAUUUAAUGAGCCGUGCGCCUUACUCCACGCCCGCCACGCGCCCGCGUGGCGCUAUUGAUCUGCCUACUGGGCCCCACGCUUGAGGCGGGGGCAUGCGCCCAGGAACUCCCUGUCCCGGCAAGUCGCUCCCCGGGAAGCGCCCCGGCCCAACGCACCCGGGAACCUCCCCCGGGAAGCGGCUUCCCGGGAAGUGCCCAGGCGGGAAUAUUCCCCGAACCCCCGCUAGCCCUUCUGGGCUGGUAGCUUGCCGGGCUGCUCGUAGCCGCUGCCCGGGAUGGAACUUCCCCGGGAACUCAGGGACGGGGCCCACGCGUCGCGCAGCGGUGGUACCCCGGGUGCCACUGGUGCGACAGGUAACUAUGAGUAUCGACAAAAAAGAAGGAUACAAAGACACUAAAAAGGCAAGUUCACUUUGAGCGUCGUCCCAUUAUUUUAUUAUGCACUAGUUUUUAUUAGUUGCAUUGUUAGGAUUAUUAUUGUAUCUAUGCUAGCUAUGACUUUUCCUAGUAGUAUAGGAUACCCCUGCCAUGUCCUCACCUCCAAUUACCAUUGUCGUAGUAAAAUGCUAUGCUAUGAUAGUAUACGAGGGUGGUAUUAUUACAAUGUGAUACUAUUGAAUUACAAUAUGGUUUUCCUAGUGUAUGGCAAAACAAAUAAUUCAAUAAACCGUCCUGGGUGGGCUGCUUUGAGGAAGUGGAGAUGUAUGCGACGUCAGGUCCAUUUCUAUGGGUCCAUUUUUAUGAGUCGUCUCACCAUUUUUAUGGGAGCGCCUGCGUUGCAAUUGAGGAAUGCCACCCGAGGUAACCAGAGACUGGACUAGUUUCAUGUUUAGUAGCUUCCAGUACAACCACAUGGUACUAUGGCUCUGCCAGAAUGAACGUAAGAAAUAUGAACCUGGAUCCGAGGUGACAUCGGUAUGUAGCAGUGUAGGUGGGGGGGCGUCCCUCAGGUGGUCUGGGGCAUUAUGUUCUGAAAAUUACUGUAGUCGAUGCCGUUGCUACUCUACCCUGAGGACAGCAAGGGAUUAACACGUCGAUUUCUUGUGGGGAAUGUGUACAACCUCUCGAGAGUGUCAAAGUAAGUACUUAGCCGUGUCCCCGGUUACGGACAAUUAUGAGCAACUAGAUAUUGGGGCUGUAAGGAAAGUCUCACUCAUUCCAAUUUCCUAAUAAAAUGAAUGGAUUGAACUGGGUAGGAGCAUUGAUGUAUCUACUCAAUGUGCCUAGGUUAAUAGGAGCAUGGGUGUUUCUACCCCGUGUCCAAUAGUUAUAAAACUAUUUGUUUAAAAAUGAUAAGAUGAAACAUUGACGCUUUUAUGCAAAUAGCCAAAACCCCUACCUUGCCAAAUACUGCAUAUACUUGAUACGAUCUGUUAUAACCCUUUUGUGAACUUGCCAAUACAUUCAAUGUAUUGACCCCCUAGUGGCUGCAACGUUCAAAUAUUGCAGGUGAACCAGGUGAAGAGUGAGGUACGAAUUGUUAGGGUUGCGAGUUUACAUUCCAACAUGUUUCGACUGUGGAGUUGUUAUGGGACUCCUAUAUCUUCUGCCUUCCGCUGCAAGAUUUUAUUUUUCUCUUGAGCUAACCCAUUAGGUUACGCAAUAUGUAAGGUACUAUUUAAUUCUGGAUCAAUACGAUGUAAUAUACUUUCGACCUUUGUAUCUUGAUAUUACAUCUUGAAACUGUGUGUGCUAGCGAGUCGAUCCAGGGACUAGCACGGUAAGCACACAGAUCGAACCCUGUAAGGGAGGGGAUCGCUUCAGAUGGUAUCAGAGCAUUGUGUUGCCUAUAGAUUCGUGACCCUAGUUUGGACAAACCAUAAGGAUUUAUCUCAAAACCUAAGUAUUUACAAAAAAAACUCUAGUAUUCUCUCAUCUCAUCUAUUCUUUCAUACUCUCACUUUAUGUUAAAAUAAUUCCAACAUCACUUUCCUUUUCAAAAAAAAAUUAGAGGUACCUUCAACAAGACCUAAGGACUUAUUUGCAAAACUUGAUAUCUAUGAAACCUCUCAUACUCUCGACUCACCUAUUCUUUGAUGACCUUACCCCAUUUUGGAAGUUUUCAAACAUCCGUCUCCUUUAAAAAAAUAUAUAUUCUUACUGUAACAUCCCAAAAUUUCAAAUUUUUACAUGUGCAUUGCAUCCAUGAGCAUCAUGCCACAAUUGCAUAUUUGAAUUCAAAUUUGAAUCUCAAAAAGGCUUUAAAAGUUUCUAUUUCAAAUUAAACCCUAGGGUUCACACCCAUUUAAGCUUUGGAUCUUCAAACCAUUAAAGUUUGUUCAUAAAAGGGGUUUAUUGCAUAAAAAAGCUAUCCCAUAAUUUUGGAUAAUUUUUGGAGUUGAAAAAGUAUUUUAUUUAAAUAGUUAUAUAACCCUCAAGGCAUUUAUAGGGCAAAUGUAUUUUUUUUGUAUUUUAUUUUGAGGGGAAACUACUCCCAAAAGUUGUAUCAUGAUAGAACAUGAUUUUAAAAAAAUUCUGGAAUUUAUUUGGACCAAUUUGGAGUCAAAAUCAAAAGUUAUCGAAGAAAUGAGAAAAAGGGAAAAAGAAAAAAAAAAGGGUAAACCGGACCGGUCCGCCCGCUUGGGCCGAACCGGCCCAGAACCGACCGCGCCCGAACCGCCUUAGCCAGCCCCGGUCCGCGCGCGCGCGCCCGACCCACUGACACGUGGGACCCACGCGUCAGGGUCUUCUUCCCUAUUAGGAAAGCUGGCCGCCGAAUCCGCGCCGGACACCACGCAGCCGCAAUCUCCGUCCGCGUUGAUUCCGACCAUCCCCGAGCAGCCCGAGCGCGUCCCUAUAAAGCCUGAGCUCCCCUCUCUUCUUCCUCUCUGCUCGUCCCCGCUCGCAUGCGCCCACGCUGCCGGAUUUCGCCGCCGAAGAGCUCCGCCGCCGCCGCUGUUCUCGCACUGCGCCCGACCUCGCCGGUGAGCCAAUCCGCCCGCAUCUUCAAACUUCUGGAACCCCUCGUCCGGGUGCAUCUUUUGACGCACGUAUUUUUGACCAUGGUGCCCUGCAGCCGCCGGAAUAGCGCCACCCGCCGGAGCCCGCAUCGCGCCACCGCCCGCUCACCGUCGUCCUAGGCGCCAACCCCGUCGCGCCCGAGCCUCGCCGCCGCCACCCGCGCCUCCGCCUCAACAAGACGCGCACGCCCAUCUCCUCCCCGAGCCAUCCCGUCGCCGGAACCUCCCACCGCCGCUCGCCGCCGGUCCUCGCCGAAACCCUAGCGCCGGUGAGCUCCCAUAUUCAAUCCCAUUCGUCCAUUCCUGAUCAACGGUGUAGAUUAGAUCGGAUUAAUUCUUUUAAAACAAACCGGUAUCGUCCAAUUAGAUGCUCACACGUGGCACCCGAGUUAUAAAAUGAAAAUCUAAUUUUAAUUCCCGGAAUAAUUAGAAAUGGCACUUUUGCAGAAAGGCCCCUGUAACUUCAAAUGAUCAUAUCUUUUAAUCUGUUUGGCCAAAUUUAAUGAUCCAGACCUUUUUGGAAUCCUUAGGAAAUUUAGAAUCUUUUGGCACUGUCCAUUUUCAAAUUUGAAUUUUUGAAUCACAUUCAAAUUACAGAAUAGGGUUUAAUACCAAUUAAAUCAUAACUAAUUAUUUAGAAGUCCUUUUUGAAUGAAACCAGUGCCCAAAAUUUUGUUUAAUUAUCCUAUGUCCAAUGGGACAGAGAAAUAAAUAUUUUGAGUUAAAUUAUUUAACUAAUGCCAAUAAAACCUUAUUUAGCUUGUUCAAGAAUUUUGAGCAACGGCAUCGACUUCAAGAAUUUUCAGAACAUGUUUGCCUAGACUACCUGAGGGACCCGCGCUCCCACCUACACAACUACCUCAGUACAAUCCCUCGGAUCUGGGUUCACAUUCUUACUCCAUCCAGCCAGAGCCCAUUUAGCUUGUGAUUGUAGUGGAACCUACUAAACAGGAAACUAGUC